UUUUUUUUUUUUUUUUUUUUGUGUGUGUGUGUGUGUGGGGGGGGGGGGGGGGGGGGGGGCAGUUAGCAUGCUCCCCUGAAACUCUGUAAGGUGCAUUUUUUGUGCCUUUGCUGUAGUUAGGGAAGCAGGGCUGUAGGGUUGCUUGCAAGUGCUCCUGCAUCACUUAGAAUCAACUUUCGUUCUUAAAGCAAUGAAAUAGUAGACUAGGGUAUUAUAUACUUAUGUCCUUUCUUCCUCGUCCAGGAGGAGUAUGUUGAUGGAGACAAUCUUGGGAGACUGGACUGCGGGCACGACUUCCAUGUUGGCUGCAUCAAGCAAUGGCUGGUGCUGAAGAAUGUGUGCCCCAUCUGCAAAAGCACCGCGCUGAAGACCUGAAACUGAACCGAGGCUCGUCAGAGGACACCCAUGUUCUAUGUUCAUUCGAUCGCAAGAUCAUUUACCGAUUCAUAUUGCUGUGCUUUUUGGUUGGGAAAUUUUGCCACUCACCUUCGAUUGGGAAAGGAAUUUUUUUUAAAAAAAGGAGAGAAAUGGUCCCUGUAAACUGCUGGUGCAGUAAAUAAUCCCUGGAAUAUGUCUCCCUGCAUUUAACCAAAUAUUUAUGGCUGGUAUAAUGGAUGUCGUAGGUUUAAAAACUUCAAACGAUUGCAUGCUGCCGCCCUCGUGCCAUAAUUUUGCUUGAUCUGGAUUUCACGUGCUGGCGCAGCGAAGAACCUCAUGAUGCCUGCCUUUUUUUUUCUUCCAUGGAGGAUGGUGCUUGCAUUCAGAGUUCCAGAGUCAACUUGUUUGAGAACUCAACAAACAAGGCACGGCGCCGUGCUGAGUUUUCCAGGCACUAUUGCUGUGCUGGCCUUGGAUGGAUCCCCCAUGCUUUCGUUGCCCCUGCACUUGUUCCUUGUCGGCGACAGGCGCCUUGCCGCGAGAGCCCGGCACGAACGCAACUCCUCGGCGGCUGGCUCGGCGCCGUCGCUGUCCACCCAUGAUCCAUCCACCCAUCCAGAGGGGGGAGUCGCUGGUCUUCUCGUCCGGUGGCUAAGUGUUAGGGGCUCCCGUUGUGGCCACACACACGGCGCCAUCCCUGAUGGGUACCCGCCGCGCCCGACGCCGCACAACUGGAUGCAGCGCGUCCGCCUCGGCGUGACGGCUAGGCUCAGGGUUGAGUCGCUGUAUUCUCACCUGCAGGGCAACGUCUCCGUUCGUCCCGACUCGUCACGUCUCCCUGCAACGUGUGCUAGGUUUUGGUGAGGCUUGUGCUAGUUACUUUGGAGCUGCAGGAUUCCGAAGCUUCUAGAUCUUUCUGGAUGCAUCCAGAGCUCUGAAACCUACGGCUGAUCCGUUGUGUUUCUGAAGACUUGAAGUUCAUUCGUAUGGCUGGGAAGGUUAGAUGGGCUACGUUUGCUGCGGGCUGGGCUUUAGUUUCCUUUGUGAUGACACAAACAGGCCCAUCUCUCUUCAGGAAAGCGUCUGACGAGUGACGAUAGAAAUUGGCCGGAGCAAGACGGCGGCGGAUUUUGUGUGCGGCUGACGGUGCGUGCGCCCGAAAUGAGGUUGACGGAAGGCGGAAACAAUUGCUUCGUUGACACGAUGACUUGCUGGUUUCGUGGGUGGCGUGUUGGGUGUGAUUGGGAGGCUGCCAAAGUGGCCGAAAAGGGGGAGCCGGUGGCCACAAACGGCAGCUGCAAAUCGCCUUCCGGCAAUUUCCCUUUUCAUUCGCGCAAUUGCAAGAACAGCUAGGCUGGUCGUCUCAUCUGGAAGAGGGGGGAGCUCGACCUGGACGGCUAUGGGGAAAAAAUCUGAAAGAGGAACGUAUCCAAAGGAGAAUUGAGAUUUCAUACUUAGGACUAGUGGAAAUACUCGACGAAAAAUGAAAUUUGUGUCAAGAUUCUAGUACACAAAUGUCACGCAAAAAGAUAGGCUCCAUGCUUCAAUUGCUGCACCCUGCAAAGAGUCAGAAUUUCGAUGUCCGUCCAGGUUGUGUUUGAGUGUUCAGUGUUGUGUAGUGCAUGAUGGGCAGAGGCGGCCCGGCCCUACCUGAGAGGCUGAGAGAGUAGUACAUGAUGGGCAGUUCACUGUCCCUCCGACACUAUCUAUGAGAAGUAGCAGAGCCGUGGGGAACACACGCCGGCAGAUCUCAAAUGAAAACCGCCUCGCUGUCCUCUCUGCUCCUCCGGUCCAUGUUUGCAUUACUUGCCGCAUGUGCCCAUCUGAUCAGUUGCGCUCGCCUUCGCCGCCGCCGCCCAGGCCCAUGAAAAUCACGCCCGCGCGCACGACGGGUGCCACCGGGGCAGCUCAGACUUGAGAUCGAUCAGAGCCUCCGUCCACCUCCAGGGCGCACGGCGAGACGCUCUGCGGCCGCGGGAUCUACGGCCGGCACGGCUGCCACCCUGACUGAACUGAACCAUGGCCAGGGGGUGCUGGGGCGGCGGGGCCGGGUCGAUGCCCAUGAACGCCGACGGCUCUCGGUGGCGGUCGGGGGGCGUCGGCUUCGUCGUUGAGCUACAGAGGAAGUUGGUGGUAUACUUGUCAUGCACAAGGCGGCGAUCCAUCACGCAAGAUGACGCGCGGCUCCCUUCCGCUUCCGUCGCCUUCCCUUUCGAAUGUGGUGGCCUAACCCCCACCCAACCCGACCCGACGCGACGCCAUCGGGAUCACCCAUGCAACGCAAGCAUCGUUAGCACCGGCACUGUCGCCCCGCCCUAAUCCUCCACUACCUGAUCACCAACUCACCCUCACGAUUAAUUAGCGACCAGUACUGCUAGUAGUAGAUAAGCUAGACCAUCCGUAAGCAUGGCUUGUUCAUCCACCCGUGACCGGUCCAUGAUUGCUUCCACCGGCACCGGAACAAACGAAGCCACGAAGAAGCGCGGGGAGAGGUUUCCGGAGUGCGGCGGGGUUGGCGGCCGGCGGGGGCGGCCUGACCUAACGCGGAUUUGCGCACCAACCGACAACUAAUAACCGGAGAGUAGAUAAUAAACAAGCAAAGGGCGGGCGGACGCGGGCGAGCGAACAACUGGAUCACGUCAAGCGGUAAAGGAUUAAGAAAAAGGCAAGCACACACAGGGGGAUCGGAGGCGAGGCCCGAUUCGAUUUGAUUAACCAAACGUACUAGUGGGAGGUGCUUGCUAAUCGCUGCUGCUUAUCUACUCGGAAACGAGAGAGAGAGAGAAGGAUGAUGACUUGUUUUUCUUAUCGCUGUUACAGCUGUCCUUUUUGACAUUUGGAAAGACCGCCACUUGUGGCCGCCGUCUCCGCCCUCCCCACGCCGCCCAAGCCCGGCCCAGCCAGCUGCCCCCCCUCCCUCGUGCUUAUCCACAACGUACCGAUCGAAAACCCUUCGCCCCGCCGCCCGCCCGCCCGCCCGCCGACCAGGACGAGGACGGAGACGGAUGGACGGGUUGGCUGGGAGGUAGGCGCGCGGGAUCAUACGCGGAGACGGAGACCGUUGGCGCCGUCGAGGGAGUGGAUGAUGAAUAACGUCGUCGUCGAGUGAGUCUUGGCGGUGGCCGCCGCUGGCUGCUCGCUCGCUCGCCUGCCUGCUGCUUCACUCGGCGUCGGAGCUCUCGGGGCUCGGCGCCCGGUUGAGAUCCGGGUUCUUGGCGCGCCCGCUCCACGCCGCCCGCUGCUGCUGCUGCUGCUUCUGCUCCUGCUGCUGGCGGUGCUCCUCCUCGUCGGCGUGCAGUUGCAGCUGCGGGAGGUGGUGGCCGUGGUGGUGGUGGUGGUGCCUCUGGCGCUCGCGGUGGUGCGGCGGCGCGACCAUCAUGCCGGUCUGCAGCGCGUCCACGCGCGACCCCACCUCGAUGGCCUUCUUCCGGAUCGACGCCGCGGACAGCGUGCCGCCGUCGGGGUCGCCGCCGCGCGCGGGCUCCCCGCCGCCCUCCGCCAUCGCCAGCGCGGGGAUCUCGUCGGGGAAGUUGAGCCGCGCCGACCGACCGCGCAGGUAGAACACGGCCGUGUCGUAGGCGCGCGCCGCCGCCACGGGCGUGGCGUAGGAGCCCAGCCAGAUGCGCGUGCGCUUGUGCGGCUCCCGGAUCUCCGCCACCCACUUGCCCCACUUGCGCAUGCGCACGCCGCGGUACUGCCGCCGGGGCUGCAUCUGCUGGUGCGGCGCCGGCGCCUGCGCGGCCGCCAUCGCCGCCGCCUGCUCCUCCAUCUUCACCGCGGCUGCCGCGGCCGCCGCCAACGGAGCCAUGGCUGCUGCUGCUGCAGCAGCAGCUGCAGCCGCCGCCGACUCCUCGCUGGAAGACCGGUACUCGCCCUGCAUGAGCUUAUCAGCUAGCUAGCCGCCGCCCUCUCUCCUCUCUUCUUUCUCUCUCUCUCUCCUCCUGCUGGGCUGUUGUGCAGCAGGAGUGGUAUCGGUAGCUGCUUUUGGCGCUGGCCGGCGUGGUUUUCUUCUCUUCCCUCCCGGGCUAUCUAUUUGCUGGGUGGUAUUUGUAUUGGGAUUUUGUGGGUGGAGGGGGGUAUGAUAUGAUUAGAGUUUGGUUGGGAUAAUCAUAAAAUAGCGCGGGGCGGAAGCGGGCGGGCGUCGACGGCAGCACUGUACUGUGCUGUUUGGAAGGGAGCCCCCCUCGCCACCGGCACGCAAAUUGUUAGGUCCACCGGCUAGCUUGCAUCCGGACGUCGGACAGGUCGAUGCCAUGCCACGCUAUCCGGAAUGGACGACAACUGUGCGAGCAAUUUUAUGCUGCCGCUAUACAAGUACUAGGUGCGUUAGCAGAAAUAAUUUGUAAUACAUGCUACUGUUGCGCAGCCAGCAUCAAAAUUAUUGCUUCGUGAUGCUCUACCUCUUUUUAUAAUUUUUUUUUCAUGAAAAAAAUCUAUGAUCAACAAUGAAUUCGCUUAUUCCGAGUUUAUUUAUACACAUAUAGUUGUCUUCUACUGAGAUCUUCACAAGAAGGAUAUGCCAUUUCGUAAUUUUUCUCUUCUACAGCUCUAUCACGCUCCUCCUCAAUCGUGCUUCCUGAUGAAUCGAAACGCUAACAAUGGAGCUUUUUUUUCGCAUGCAGUAACCCAAUGAGGUUUUACACGAUUUGGCAGUAAUGAAUCUCUCGUUUCUUAGUGCCGAUGGCACCAUGCCGUUCGACUUCACCUUGUGCCGUAGCUCAACGUCUAGUAAAGAAUUGUUUUGCAGCUGAAAAUAAUGUGAGCCUUCUUUGUGUUGACCUUCUCAUUUAUUGCAAAAAAGGAAAAGAGAAAAGGCGACAUUAAUACUUAAUUAUGUCCAUUAAAAAUACUUUAAAUGUCUGCACAAUGUCAAUUUUUAAUUCAAUAUUGGUUGCAAAAAAACAAAUAGAAUGAAUUCAAUAAUGUAGGAUUUGCCUCUACAUGAUAUUAGGUGAGGUAUUUCAAGUCUCUUCUGAAUCAUAGAAAUCCUACAAGAAAUCUCGAUAAAUUCAAUCCAUGAGGACAGAGAAGAGGCUUACGUGUUGCACACAUUCUUUACUUGCAUCAUCAUUGGAGUACGCAAAUGAUGCAACAAUUGUAAGGAGUCAAGAUAAUGCCACGGAAAAAUAAUCCGUGGAUCAUGAGCCUCUUGUUGUCACAAUCCACCCUUCCUUUCUUCAUCACCAACCCUCGUGCACACCUGUCGCCACAUCGUAACCCGGUUGACCUCGCGCAAGACUAGCUAGAGCUAGCCACCUCCCACCGGCUACCUGUAAAAACUCAAUUCAACCACUUGCCAUGGAAGUUUUUCACCCCCAUUGAAAAAUGCGUGGCGAUAUUUUCAUCUCGGCUUACUACGGGCUUAUCACGAGAGUAUCCGGAACCGUCAGUUCAUAUACUAACCCGAUGCUCUUUCGUAGUGUGAAACUUUGGUUUGAAGCUAUGUCGUCUCGGCAGCCAAUACUUUAUGCGCUAAUAGCAACAUGACAGCCCCGAUAAUUGCUUCUUUUAGGUGGACAGGGCAGCCGCCGCCGGCCCGCCGCUCGCGUGCAUAAUUGCUGCUGUUGCUGGGGAAUAGCUGGCCGGCGGCCGGGCUUUCCUGCCCUAGAAUCCACAACCAAAUCAUGCAAAAUCUAAGCGCGGGAGCAAGCGAGCUGGACCGACCGGCCGGCGGGCACGCACGUACCGAACCUGCCCUCGAGACGUCAAGGCAGCGCCAGUACGCGGCGUGGUCCCGCGGAGAUUCGAGUUUGUCGCGCGAGCCGGCCGGGUAGAGGGGUACGCCGUACGCGGCCAUCAGGGCCAGGGCCAGACGGUGCAGGCGCGGCUCGUCGUCGUCGGCAGGGGCAGGUACGUGCAGGUGGACGCACGUUGCUAGCAAGAGGGCACCGUACGCGCGCGGCUGUGUGGUGGAUAGGAUGCGUGGGCGCGCGAGGGAGGCCGGUGGUGGCGCGGACACCGGGCAGUGGGGUUCGUUCGUUCCAGGGCUCCAGGCAUCCAGCGGCGGCAGCAGCAGCAGCAGCACAGGGACGGCCAACACGACGUGUCGCUUGCAUGCGCGCGGCCGGCCGGGAGGCAUGGGCGGAUCAAAAGGAGGGAGGGGCUGGACCACGCGCACGAGGCUCGAGCUCGAUAGGUGGACAAUAACGUUGUACACUCCUGCUACUACGUGCUGUAGCCUAGGCAGCCAGUAGGUGCCAUAGGCUAUAGCUCGAUCUCCAAUUCUCCAUCGCGCGAGCUAGCUUCGCUAGUGUAUAGUGCGGUGCAUCGGGCCGGCUAGCUAGCUGAUCGUUGUGGCAAUAGCGGUAGUGCACCAAAAGGCACCUCGUCUGUUCAGGUCGAGGCGAGAAAAGGUAGCGGGCACCAUGCGUGAAAGGGGCUUUUCCGUUGCGGGUUUGCCGCGGCGGACUCCAGCAGCACGCGCGGAAUAAUGGACAGCUCUGCAGCUGCUGGCUUCUGAUUUCCCGGGGGAGCAUCUAGCGUGGAACCCAGAAAUAUUCCCCUGACGCGUUGCUCUACAAGGGUUGUGCCAAAAAGGAAAAGGUGCACCGGCGCAGUUUUUGCGACGAGAUGGGCAAGUAUGAUGCGUGGCACCGUCAAGGGAUGUUCUCUGCCGACGUUCCGUGGGAAAGAAGAAGGAAAAAAAAAUGAAACGAUGGUACACUGAUGUCAAACGCGGACACUGUGAGUGUGACAGAGCGCCGCUGUACUAGACCUUGUACAAGGACAAAUGGAUGGGAUAAUGAUUAAUCGUACGUGCCGGUACUUGCGGUGGAGAUUACGAGUGGACAGGGGGAAAGGGAAGCCAAUCACUCGGAUCAUAUCAUAUCAGUUAUCAGUGGGUGGGGGGAUCAGCUAUCCUCGAGGACGCCGCACUUGACUAAGGUCCCGUUUGGAUCUCUUAGGGAUUAUGGCAAUCCUGAUAGUAGACCCUGAUUAUAAGGGCAUGUUUGGUUAUCAUGGACUAAAUUUUAGUCCACCCACUUUGGCUCCUUUUAUUAGUCCCUAAAGUGCCAAAUAGGUGGACUAAAGGGUUUAGUUCUUUAGUCUAAGGAGGGUGGAUUAAACUGGACUAAAAGGUCGGACACCCUGCCCUCAUUUAUUGCCUCCCUCCCGCCUACCGUCAUCGCCGCCGGCCUCCCUCCCGCCCAGCCCUCGCCGCUGUCACCCCGCCACCCUCUUGAUGGAGAGGAGGGGCCGCGGCUCAGCCUGCUUGGACGGGAUGAGCGCCCGUGGCGCACCCAUGACGCCGAGAAGGAGGCGGAGGUCGGACCAGCAGAAGGAGGCGCUCGAUCCGCCGGGGCCGGCGGCAGCGGAUGCCAUGGACGGUGUGCGGGUCAGGUGGCUGCGCACCUAGUUCCCGAACCCCUCUCAGUGGCCGGAGUCCUCGGCAUCGAGGUCACCGGCGGCGAGGCGCUCGGCAUCAGGCCCCUCAAUGAGCGGCGACAGCGCCUUCCCGUCAGGUCGCAGACUGCCAGAGCGCGCGACGAGCUGCUCCCCCGAGGUACUGCUGCAGUACCUUCUCCGACGGCGGCUGCCGCUGACUUGCGCCGCCGCGGGAUCAUCAUCCUGGCCAGCGACGCGAUCCGUGGCGGCGCCGGAACCUUGCCCCUCGACCUCGCCGACUACAGCCCCCGCACCACCUCCUCUUUCAGCGCCGCGAAGAACCCCUGCCUCCGCUCCUUUAGUCGAGUGAGAAGAUGGUGAGCAGGGAGUUUCCAUUUUCAAAAUAAGGGUAGUAUCAUCUUUGUUCAUCUGCAUUAAUGGACUUUAGUCCAUAGAUCCAAACAUGGUAGACUUUAAUCUAUGGACUAAAUGAACCAAACAGGGGCUAAGAAUCCGGAUUCUAAAUAGUAAUAAUCUAGUUUGUUUGGAUUCUAGUAUCAUGAUCCGGCUAGGGAUUGGUUGAAAAGCUCAAUUGUCCGUAAUGCCCUUAGUUUGAUUGAGAAUCUUAGUUUGAUUGAGAAUAAGAAUUGAAAUAGGAGUAAAGUUGUCAUUUCCCAACCUAUUAUAUCCAAUAGCUAUAAUCUCCAAUAGCUAGGUUGGAGGAGAUAGUGGUAUUAUUAGAAUCUAGAUGGGUAGAUUCUUAUAAUCCAUCCUAGAAUCCAACCUGUUUGGAUCCAUUUGGAUCCAUUAGUGAUUAUUUUAGCCGGAUUAUAUAAUUCCUAAGAUCCAAACGGAACUUAAAUUUCACGACCGGCAGGAUCAGCAGAUGGAGGGCCAGCAUCGUCGGCAUUAAAAACUGACGGGGGCACACGUCCUGACGUCGCGCGCGAGCCGUGCGCCAGGGCCGAUCGAGUCGGUAGCCAGUACUCCUUCCUCUGUACUUGCUGCAGCAACGGGUCAUCGCGUGCGUUGGCUUUGCGGUUCGGUCUCGGGUCUCCAGAGAAGAGAGAGGAGACAGGAGAGGAUAGCUAAACGCCUAAACUAAACGAAAACGAGACGCGGGCACCUGUGGAGGCGCCGUACGUUUGGUGCACGUACUAAUUUGGCCAACGAUCCCCAACUAACCGCCCCCGUUCCGUUCGGUCCUGCCGUGCGUCGGCUAGGAGGCGCACCGGCAGCGCCGACAUGAGGUGGGCGGGUCCAGGUGGCGUCGGAGGUGAUGCGCGCCGACGUGGACGUGGCCCCCUCGUCCACGGAAUCCCCCCCACCCACCCCCCGUGGCCAUGGCCCAUCCAUCCUCUCCCAUAUCCGGACACGGGACGUCAAUUUGCUUGCCAGCGACGGCAUCGGCCGCCCAUUAUCUAGCCCUAAUCAUUCACGCUAAUGACGUCCGCGGCGAGGUUAGCGUAGCCAGAGCCCCCGGGUGGCCAGGCUAAUCGCGUCGCGUCCCAUCCAUCUCUUUCCCCCCGGCCGCAGCGUACGCAUCUCCUCCCUGCUGCGACGGCACGGCGCUGACGCGUGGACCACGCUGCGGCGUAGGGGCCAGGUGUCUGCGUGGUCGCGUUAUUGCCCGGUCGGUGGGGGCGCCGGAUUGGAACGGAACGGACCUGGGGUGGAGGUCGGUGCGGCGGCCGGGCGGGCGGCCAAACGUGUUGAGCCGGCAUAGGGUGUGGGGGACAUCCCCGUCUCCUCCGUCCACGAUCGCGCCGCGGCGUAGGUCGCCGCUGGCCGGGGGCGUCGAGUAGGAGUUGGGGGCGCGGGCGUGUGCAGGUAGGUGCGUGCCCCAACCGAUUUCAAAGACUUGCGAGGACUGGAGGAGGAGCAGGCAGAGCAGGCUAGUGGGAGUUCUGUUAGGAAAUCGCGCAGCGGCCGCAACGACCCGCACAGUCCAUCAAUGAUGUCGGUGGCGUCCACGCAUUUACACGGCCCGCGUUUUCGGCUGGCGCCGGCGCUACCCGAGCUGGCGUCACGCCCUGCCCAGCCGGCCGGAGCCGGAAGGGGGGUCGUCGAGUCAGGUCGUCGUACAACAACUUCCCUGUAGACCGACCGAGUUCGAAGCGCAUCGAGAUCCAUCCAAGCAUUAUGCUUCGGUCACCUGAUUAAGAUUAACCUGGUCCCGGUACGGGGUAACUGCCUUCAUCUGUUUGGACGCUCAUGCUCCUGUAGUCCUGUAUCUGUAUCUGGGUGUACGCCGCGGCUCUGCCCCGCCCGCGUUGAAUUCGAAUCAAUGCGGUGGUCGGAGGAGGAGAUGAGAGGGGGGCUCCCUCUGCCUGCCGUGGCAGGCGUGCGAUGUGAAUGUGUGAUGCCCGUGCGACAGGGGGUCGGUCGGUGCGCCAAUCAAUAUGGACGCGCGGCGGCCGGCGUCGAGCUGUAUAUUCCGAAUGUACCAGCACCGAUCGCAGAUACUAGUACCACUACCUAACCGGGAUCCAGUGGCGCCGCGCCCGACCGUGGCCAAGCAGGCCACCCGCCCGCCUGCCCUGACGACGGCGGAUCAAGCGCCGGCACGGGCGGAUGAGCACCGAGGUCGUCGUCGGCCGGAGCAUGCGAAAAGAUGGGUGCCGAGAGCGACGGGUGGUAGGGCACGCCGUAGUCCGUACAGUACAAGCAAUAGAACGGCAAUCAUGCCGGGCGUAUCUUCAUGAUCUGGGCAUUGGUAGUAUCUCUGGGAGCAGUCGGAGGAGGUCGGAGAAGGAGGGUGAGGUGAGAGCGCACGCAGCAAGCGCCGAGGCGGGGCUCGCAACAGCGACGGGCGGGCAGUGGGGAGGUGGAGGCUGUUGCUGUCUUAUCUGUCCGCGGCGCCCCCCAAUAAACAAUGCCAGCCAGCCAGCCAGCCGCGCCCGGGGUGGAGUAACGAGGAAUACAACGAGCCGCUCGCCUCACUUGUUGCUUUAAAAAUCAGGCUAACCAAGGGGGAAAAAAAAAUACUAUACCACGGAACGGAAUCAUUUGGCCAUUGCUCACACGGUUAUAUACUAUACCAUGGAACGGAGUAGCACAGUAGCAGGAGUAUCAAUAAACGGAACGGGGGCGUGGGAGCGAGAUGGGGUGGUGGCGGGGGGCCGGGGACAGAGUGGAUAAUGCUCGUGCUCUGGAAUUCCACCACUGCCGACUCCGCCGGCAGUUGGACGGUUCCAGCGUGCCGGUCGGAUUAAACAAACGCCCGCGAGGCCGCAAGUGGCCUGCGGCGGCCGGGGCCGGUGCGUGUGCGUGGUGGUGCGCCGGCCCUGCUGGCCCCGCCCCCCGCUUGGCGCGUGCGCGCGCUGCCGCCCUAGUGGCCUAGUGCCGCCUCGCUAUCCGGCGCCAGUGUUCAUUCCGAUCGAUUCCCGCCGAGGCCGCCGGCCUGCACGCGCCGGUCGCUAGCUGCCGCCAAGCGGAACCGGCGCCGACAAGGAACGGGACGGCACCGAGGGGACCACGACCACGCGCGAUUCCGGAGGAGGAUCCCCUUCGUUCUUGGACCCGUUUUUGAUUUGGGGCAACGCCGGCCGGGGGUCCCUAACCUAACCCUACGUUCUGCUGCCUACCUGCCUGGAGGGGAGGGCAUGCUAAAAUCUAGGGCCCCGUACAUGCAUGCCGUUUGUGACCAAGAAGGUGAAGUGGUCAGGAAAUGCGGCAUCUGCUGGGGUGUUUUUCAGUUGGGACUAACGGCCAGCUCGGUGGAUUGGAUCGAGCGGAGCGUGCCCUCAUGCAGCCGAGUGGAGCCACGCCGCAUGCAUGUGACGCCGGCAGCCGAAGCGCAGGAUGCCCCCCUCCAAACGGGGCCAGGUCCGAUGGUGUGACGGUCGACCACACCUGACAACUUGUUCUUCUUUUUGGGGCUAAUGAUUGCUCACUUGCUUGGAAAGGAGGAAACCCACUCCGCCCAGCGACGCUGUGCCUGCCUCUGCUUGCCAACAUGGCCUCACCCAAAGAAAAGAGAGACGCCGCCCGCUCGCGAGCAAAUUGACCCCGCGCGCUAGCUCUCCCUAUCAUAUCAUCACUCGUGCCGGUCGUGGACGUUGGAAAGCGGCACCGCCACCGAGCCGGGCCGCGCGGCGCGGAGGACGACACCCAGGACCACGGCACCCCAGACCAACGAGCAGGCCGCGGCAAUCGGGCAGCUCUUUUCCCUGCUGGCGUCUCUCUUUCCAGCCAGCCUCGGCAGCUACGUUACGUGCCUGCGCUUAAUGCGUGCGUCUUUCUUGUGGACACAGCAAGCUUGCUUGCCAGGUUCGGAAGGGCGCCGGCAGAUUGCCAUGCACGCGUAUCCUGCUUGCUUGCUUCUUCUCUUUUGAUUUGAUUCCUGCAGGGAGCUAGCAUGCAUCUGCUGUUUAAUCUGGUGUUCCUAGGCUCCUAGCUCUUUUAUUGUGCGUAACCUGGCCUACCAUGGCAUCAUGAUCCGCAUUCUGGGUCAAUUCAAUCAGCAACUGCAGUUGGUACAGUGCAGGUUAAAGGACCAUCAUCGAGUGCCUCUCGUCUAAUGCAAACAACGCUCUGCUGCAUCUUGACUUCUAGAGGUCUGCUCUGCUGCACAUGCAACGUAGCACAGCAGGAGGAGCGCGAAAGCAAAGGAAACAAAAUACGGUGGCGAGAAACAAAAUGAUGAGCCGUGCCCAAUGUUGGCCCAUGGGCAGUUACUGAAGUCAGUGCAUUGCUAACUUUCCUAACAGGCCGUGAUAAUUGGGCCCCGCAUCUCGUACAUAGGGAGGGAACGGCAUACGUAUUGCCGGCCUAUGUUCCUGUGGCCCAGUAUCUGUUCCGCUUCAGGCCCAUCAAUCAUAUUGUUGCGUUUUACAGUACAUCCCAGCCUACUACCUACUGGACUACAGCAUCGAUUACUUAGUUCCAUUUCUUUGACUGAAACAUCCAAUCAGUAGUUGGUCAAUGCACCAGAGACCAGACAGACCAGACUCACAAGUAGCUCUCGGCCGGUCAGAGCAUGAUCAGUUCUCUCUAUGGUCCAAUAAUGCAAGUGUCCAACCCCCUACAAGUUACAGUGUUGCCAAACUAUUCCAAAUUCCCAACACCUUGCCGACCACUCGUGCACAAAGUGCAAGCCUACAUUCCUCUUUCGCUCCUCCUGUGCAGGUGAUGCCGCAAUGGGCAGCGAGACUACCGACUGGUGGAGACGACAACGACAACGCCAUUACCGGCCGGGUGGCUCACCUCCUGUCCCCCCUCCCAGUCCCAGCUAGACGGGACGGGACGUCUCGGCCAGCCAUGAGUGCACGCAUAUAUAGCUGGUAACAUGAGCUAAUAGUGCGUGGUUGCCAGUUCUAGCUCGGUCCAGUCCAUUCAAAGCUACCCUCCCUAAUGGGGGAGGCCACUGCCAUCAGAUCUCAUGUGGGCUCUAGCCUCUAGCUAUUGGACAAGGGCCGGACAGAAAGCAGAGAAUCUACCGUUGGCAGUAAGGAUACAAUUGGACUGAACUUUAAUCCCAUCAGAUCCUCAUCCUGACAUCCUAGUGCCAUGUGUGCUUGCUUCAGAACAUAGACUAAGCAUGUAUAUUAUUCUGUACAAGUACAACGGAACAGUUUGAUCCUCAGAGGUAGGGAUUGUCAAGAUAGGAAUAGGAUCACGCAUGGCGUUCGCUCUGAAUAUCUGAUCAAAGCAGAGAUUCACUUGCAUGUGGGUGUUUCGUAGGAGAUCACGUUAAGCGUGCUUUUAGGUUGAAGCUCUUAACAAGAUAAGAAGAUCAAAGUUGCCGGCGACGAGGUGCGUAUGCCGUGCAUAGUUUAUGGCUGAGGCUCUUGUCUUCUCGUGCCAAAUGCGCCACCCCGUGAGGCGUGAGCUCACUACUGACAGCCCAUCCGAUCCUUGAGUAUAACAAACUACUCCCAACGACGAGCUGAGACUUCAACAACGGGAGAGCACUGAACUGUAAGGUUGAUAGUUCCGAGGAGCUAGCUGAGCUAGGCUAGUCUAGCUGUACGAUGUUGCUAUUUGUGGAUACCAUGUGCCAGCACACAGUGCAGCCAAGAACACUGAAUACUGAGCUAUCGUCAGACAGCAUUGUAGGAAGGGAACAAAGCCAAGCAGCAAGUGGGACUAGCACUACGCUGCUGGUCUAGAUGCCAUAUGAUGUUAUUGGAAGUUGGACCAUGGAUUCUGACCAAUACGGCAAUACUUAAAGCAUUCAAUACCAAUACGCAAUACUAUUUUCUUUUUCUUUUUCUUUUACUUCUGCUACUACUAGCAGGAUGGCACGAACGGAACGAGCAACAUCAUUUUUGCCUGUUUUUACAGCGAGACAUUCCUCUCGUUUUUCAUUUCAGAAGUUGGCCAUCGCGUUCCAGGACCGUAUUUUGAUGCAACGAGACCAUUAACGUUCAUAUGGAGCAUGGUGGUCCUCCGUUACCGAGCCGAGAGUCCCCGCCGCGCCGUGUAUGGUAAAAGUAGAAGUAACAGUCAACAGUGCAGCAGGCCUACAAAGUAUGUUGUAUAGUGUUACGUGACGACGGUACAAACACAGCCUACUUCUACUGGCCGAAUACUGAUCCAAUGAUCCACUUAACACGCCAAGCUGCACUGCGGAUCGAUGCCAAUAUGCCAUCAGUUGCUAUCUCGCUCUCACGACGCACACGCUACGUACUAAUGUACUAUACGCUAGCGGCUAGCUCACAUCACUCGUCACUGUACUGUACCCGAUCCGCUCUUGUGGUAUACUAAACAUGGCGCAUGGACUUAUUUGACUGCAGCUAGGUAUUAAGAGUGCUACACUAUUUGCACUUUCAAAUCGGAUCUAAUGGCGCACGUAAAAGCCACUGUUCACCAUAACUUUCGAUUUUUCUAGUACAGACACUAUAUACAUCGUGCAGCAGGUUUUGAUCAACCUCGCUCCGUAGCAUUACGCGAAGCGGGAUUCUGCUGGGGAUCAUGCAAAGCCCCCACGGCUGCCAUUCAUGUUUAUGAACCUCCACUGUGUCCCAAGAUACUCCCCAGAGCUACAAUAAUGAACUUCUCCAGGCCGAGAAAGUCCGUUCCAUGUGACGAGCGUGCCUGAACUCUGAUCUGAAGUCCACGACGUAACACAUGUUUUCCGUGGAUCGCGAGACGGCAGCUUCUCAGUCUACAGGUCAGUAGCCUGCUUCGAUCGAUUCCAUGUGUCUGCUCAAAAACAUUUAGGUGGUGUUUGGAUCCAAAGUUGAUGGGUUAAAAUUUAGUCCUUGUGGGGUGUUUGGAUCCAAGAGCUAAAAGGUAGUCUUCCUUGAGCUAAUGACUGAUUUGCCCUCAUUUAUUGAUCAUGUCUCAAAUUCAUUUUUAUUGACUCCAUGCACAUGCACAUGCACAUGCACAUGCACGCCCAAGCCUCUACUUCCUCCGGCCAUGCACAGGCACAUGCACAUGCACGCCCAGGCCUCUACUUCCUCCGGCUAUGCACAGGCGCCGGCCAUGCACAGGCGCUGGCCAGGAACAGGCGCCGGCCAGGAGGAACACGCUGUUGUUCCUCCUGGACAUUGAAUAGUUUUUAUUCGUACAAUUACAUCAUCGUUCAAACAUACAAUUCAAAUACUCUACGAUCAAAUACAAGAAAAAAAUACUCUACGAUCUAUUAUACAAACUUGAGGCUAUUUGAUCACGGAAUGCAUUCAUAUUUGUAUCUUCGUCCCUUGAUUGAGUAUUUUGUGUUGGCGGUUGAUAGGUUGAUGCUUCAUGAGGAACAUAGUUCUCAUCACGGUCACAACGAUCAAAGUCCUCAUCCUCCAUAUGACUCUCUCUAAUAAAGUUAUGAAGUGCCAUACAUGCAACAAUUAUCUGACUUUGCUUCGGCAUUGGAUAACUUGGCACUUUCAACAAAAUCCUCCACUUCAUCUUAAGAACUCCAAAUGACCUCUCGACACAGUUCCUAAGAGAUGAAUGAGCGAAGUUAAAGGUCUCUUUCAUACCUUUGGGCAUCGGCCCCUCCCUAAACUCUGUAAGAUGGUACUUCGUUCCCAUGUAAGGUGCAAGAUAACCAGGCCGAUUGGGGUAUCCAGAAUCCACUAGGUAAAACUUCCCUGCAAAUACAAACAUUAUUGUUACAAACAAAAGCUAUAACCAAAGUGGCAUAUGUACUGAAUGUGCAAAAACUUCUGGCAUAACAUACCAGGAGGGGGAUGUGGGAACUUGUCUUUGUAUUUGACUCUUGCAUCAUUGAAAACUCUCAUGUCAUGUACUGAACCAGGCCAGCCCGCAAGAACAAAUGUGAACCUCAAAUCAAAGUCACAGACCGCAAGCACAUUCUGUGUAGUGAAGCCCUUUCGACAAAGAUGUUGCACCACCUUGUUAUUUGGCACGACAACUGGUAUAUGAGUGCCAUCUAUUGCUCCUAUACAAUUGUUGAAGUGUGGAGAGAAUCUAGGAUUCUGUAACCUACGGUGCAUUGUUCUAAAUUCAGGGUCAACCGGCUUAAUUAUGUCAGCUGCUAACUUGAUGAUACACUUCAAAACUUUGUCAAAAUUGCGGUGAACUAUAUCUAAUGAUCUCUCUAAUCUGUUCUCAGCUUGUCUGACUGACUGAGGUGCACCAACCAUCUAAAGAAGCAUUCCUAAGGCCUCUACUGAAGAGCUCUUUGAUGUGGACUUUAGGCCAUAAGAAUGCACCAAUAGACCAUGAAAACGAUCAAACAAUUCUCUACUCAUUCUAAACAUGUUAUAGCAUUGCACACUAUCUGUUAGAUUUCUCAUCACCCAAUCAUGGCCACUUUCAACCAUCUUUCUCUUCUUAGCUUUAUUGAAGUAGGUGUCAUUGUACAUACCAAAUAGAAGUAGAUCCUCCGUGAAUUGCCUCUCAUAUUCAAUGUCCUCCUCAGUAAUAAGCCUUAAAACUUCAUCGUCACUUGCAUCACUGUCCACAUCCAUAUCCUGAGACAUAAUACAACAAAUUAAUCAGUUAAAUUCAAUUGUAUGUACUACUUGCACUUCAAUACAGAGUCAACUUAAAUUCAUUCAAAUACAAACAGGUCAAAACAAAUUCAUUUCAUCACAAACAGUUCAAAUCAAUUUCAUUUCAGCACAAACAGUUCAAACAAAUUUAUUUCAGAUCUAACUUCAAUUAGUACAGACAGUUCAGUUCAACACAAAAGUAUCAUCACAAAGACAUAAUCCUAAUCUAGGUUGUGUUGCCUGCAAUAUCUCCUCAAGAAGGUCAGCCUUCCUUCAGUUGUGGAUAUGUUAAUGAAGAAUUCCCUCAAGGAAUCAUUUAAGCAGAUCUGAGAAACAGCAUAGUACUCAGUACUAGUUUCAUCCACCCCACACUCCAAAACCAAUUUCUGAGCCUGCUUAAUGUUGUUGGACAACUGAGCCAUCUUCUUGUCUUGCCUAUUACAGACAGCUUCCUUGAUAAACUGAUUCCUUUCAGCUUGCUGCUUAGAAGAGAAACUAAUGUAAUCCUUCAUCAUUUUCACCAUUGGGCUUUUGGUCUUCUUGUUUGGACUUGAAGCUGUUGUACUGGUACUACUUUUUCUCUUGCGGCUGCUUGUACUCAUAGAACUGUGAUGAUACUCUGGAGGUAGCUCUUGCUCAGGAGUGUCUUGCUCAGGUUCUUCAUGCUCUUCAGGCUCCUCAGGCUCUUCAGGCUCCUUAGGUUCUUGAUCAUCUGCAUUAGUGUAUCCUGGCACAAAAGAACUUGAACCAUCCACAACUACACCAUCAAAUAUACGCUAAAGCAGUGGUAGAUACUCAGGAGGCCCAUACAUUAGUUUCAUCCAUUCUGGAUGUGUUCUACACAUGUAGUAGCUGAAGUUAGAUUGCAAUCAGAUGGAUCCUUGCAGCCUGCACAUAUAAUAGAUCAACAAGUACCUUUGUUGCAGUCUCCCACCACUCUAAGGUUGCAGUAGGCCACCCAUUUUCAUUAUGGCCUAAACCACUGUCGGAAUGGAUGUCUUUUAUGAACUGAUAUAUUCCCUUGAGCUGCCUAAUCCUAUUAGAUAUCUGUUUCCUAUCAUGCCUCAGCCCUGAACCGCAGUAAUACUUUUCUAUGACGAGCUUAUACCCUUUUGCUGUCAUAGUCCCUUUAAUGUAGUUUCCCAUUUCAAUUUGAUCAACAAGUAAUUGACACAACAAGUUGUUAUUCUGCUCUGAUGACCAACUUCCUCUGUCAAAUUUACAUUUACCGUAUACAUCACAAGAACAAGCAUUUCAUAUUACUCUAACAGCAGUAGUAAAUCUCAUGAACUUCUCUGAGAUCAAGGGUUUAGGACUCGUACCUGACAGCUUGGAAAAACUUCUUCGACUUCAUUGUCUUCAAUGUCGUCGUCGUCGUUGCCCUGCCGUCGAACACGUCGACCGCGGCCACGGCCUACAGAUGCACCAGCCGCCGCCGAAGAAGCUCCACGCAUCCCACAGCCGGCGGCGGGACCCGGUGGCAACCGACCGCGGCGGCCGCGACUGGAUGACGACCAUUCGUCGCGGCCUCCUACGGCUCCGCCACAGCUCCGAGCACUGCGUAAACCGAGUGUGCAAGAGCUACCUCUUCUGCCACCACGCGCUUGAGAGUGAUGAGGCCCCGUGCUCUCCGAUGCCGCCAGUGCGCCGGAUUGCAGGAUCCCCUGAUACCGCCAUCGAUGACCAGUCAUUCGCCUGCGAGUUGAGGUCCAGUGCCUCAAUGCCAAUCCGGGGACCACUGACAGAUCCCGACCCCGGAUACUGGCUGCCCUCGCUGGCGAAGAGGUCGAAGUUGCCGGAGAAGAAGUCCCUGGUGCCGUCGUCGCCGAAUCCGUACAUCGGCGACUGGUGCUCCGGCGAAACUUGUAGCUUCUAGGCGGUUGAGGUGCUCCGGCGACUGGUGUGGUGAAGGGAAGGGGACGGGAUGUAGAUGUGGCGAGAGGGGCGGCGGCGGUGAACUCAGCACAGAGGGGUGGCGGCGGCGAUGCGGGAGCGUGUCAGAGGAAGGGGAGGCAGAGGGAGUCGGGCGAUAAGGGCGGAUGCAGUGUAGAUCUGGCGAGAGGGGCGGCGGCGGCGAUGCGGGAGAGGGUGGUGGCGGCGGCAAUGUGAGAAGAAGGGGAGGCGGGGGGAAUUAGGCGAGACGGGCGGAGGCAGUGGAGAUCUGGCGAGCGGGGCGACGCGAGGGGUGUGCGAGAGCUGGCGGCGGCCUGCGCGGAGGAGGGAGAUGCGGAUGAGGGCGACGGGCAGGUGCGGAGGCGGAGGAGAUGGCGGCGGCACCGUGGGGCUGAGCAGAGAUGGUGGGGCCGGCGAGGCGGCGGCGGCGGGCGAAGGAGGCGGGGCCGGGAGGAGCACGCGGGGAGGAAGGGAGAGAGUGUGGGGGAGGAGAGAGUGGCGGAUGAGGGCGACGGGCAGAUGCGGAGGCGGAGGAAGUGGCGGCGGCACCGUGGGGCAGAGCAGAGGUGGCGGGGCCGGCGAGGCGGCGGCGGCGGCGGCGGGCGAAGGAGGUGGGGCCGGGAGGAGCACGCGGGGAGGGAGGGAGAGAGUGCGGGGGAGGAUAGAGGUGCGGACGAGGGUGAGGGGCAGGUGCGGAUGAGGGAGGGGCGCGUGCCUAGGGUCCUGUGCGAGGGGAGGGGUAUGGAGUGUCGAGGAUCACUUUUAGCUCCUUUUAGAGCCUCUUUGAAGGCUAAAUUUUAGCUCCAAAAUUUUAGCUAUUUCUCACUUUUAGCCCACCUGUUUGGAUCCCAAGACCUAAUUUUUGAACUAAAAGUGGAGAGCUAAAAUUUAGCUCUUGGAUCCAAACAGGCCCUUAGGGCCCGUUUGGUUGCUUUCAUGCGGCCUGACCAUGCUCGGCGCAUGCAUCCGACGAGUGAUUGGUUAGCUGCCGCACCGCUAGUCAGGCUCCGCGCGUGCAACUGAAGGACGAUUGGUUGCUUGCAUCUUCAUCUGGCUCGUGCCUUCGCGUGCAGAAAUCAGCACUCAGCCUGGCUCCCGAGAAACGAAACUGGAUCUCGUUUCUUCGGAGCCUGGCUCGCUCGCUGCUGGCCCGUGAGUGCCUGUCUCCCAAGAGCCGAGCCGGCCGGUACCAGAAGAGAACCAAACGCGCCCAGGGCUUGGUUGCGGGCAUCCCCGUUCCCGUGUAUCAUGUGCGCACGAUGACGCGACGCCUGAAACUUGCUGUUUUCUCGCAGGUGCAGGCAGCCGGUUGGUUGUCGCCUUGCGCGAGGAAGACGGAAGGGAUGAGAAAGAUGCCGCGGGGACGGGAGGGACACGGACAUCGAUGAGAAAAUCUCCUGUCGAUGUGGAGGAAACCAGGGCAGGCGACCGCAGUAGGCUCGCAGGGAGAUCCCCAAAAGGCCCUUGUGUUGAUCGAUGGAGAUGGUGGAGCAUUGGCAUUUGCAAUCAGAGAGAGACCGGCCACUGGUAAAUAAACGAGGAAAAGGAAGGUAAAUAAAGGCCAAGCGAGUCCUCUGGCACUGCCUGUAAAAAGGAGAUGACACAAUCAGAUUCUCAUAGAGGAGAGGAUAAAAAAGGAGCCGGCAACGAAGGGCUCGCUUGGAGAGUGGAGAUGACUCGACACUUGGAGAGCUCUUGUUUUUACUUGUUCAGCGGCACUGCAGCAGCGAGACCGUACGGCGAGCAUCUUUCUUUUUUUACCGGUCAAAUUUCGAUGCUGUCAUGGGUGCAGGGAUGGCAACAAACUUUUGUUGCAGGAGAUGGUGGCGCAGAAACAGAAAGCACUGGGGUUCCUGUGACAAAUCACAUGCGGUAACACAGGUGCAUGCGCAUCGAUCCGAGGCGAUAGCUGCCUGCCUGCCGCUCCGCGGGACGCUCCAUCUGGUGAGGUCCCUUCCUGACCCGUCUGCGGAAAGGAAAGGUUGCCUGCUUGCUUCACCCGUUCUGAACCCUGAAUAAAUUGGUUGGUGCUGAUCGGCCACUUCCUUUUGCCACUAGCAUUAGGAGUGGUACUGUUAGUUAGCGGUAACCGUGAUGAAGCUGGGCACAUGGCUAUUAAUAGCUUGAUUUGUGCUCAUUAAGGAAGGGGAAAAAAGAGAGGUUGCCCAUGUCCUGUGUCCUCCGCCCUGUCUGCUGUUGGCCUCAAGCCUGACGAGGAAGCUGCAAUCGCUUUGCUGUCUUCCAAGUUUCAAGGUCCCAACAAGGCAACCACCACCGCACCUGACAGGAAAGAUGCUGCCCCAAACCAAAAGUAAUUAACCGCUUCUAUUCUACUAGUGGUAUCAUUAUCAUACCAUCUCGCCCUUUCAACGAUCUGUACCAGUAAUAAGAAGCAGACAACUGCUAAUCCUCUGUCCAAAAUAGGCUAUUUUUUUCUUAUAGGAGAAUAGAAUCGAUCGAAAUAGUGGAGUUCUAACGUAACCACGGUCGUAAGCGUGAUUCAUGACAGUGUGAAGGCCUCCCGGCUUUGUUUCGCAUGCUCUCUGAGCUCUGACGCAAGUACGCACCGGUCGCCAUUACUGUAGCUGGUACGAAGUUAGGUCUUGAUAAGACCGGUUGGUUGGGGCGAUGGCUAUUAGCUAAUCUCGUGGCCGUCUAUUGGCCAGGCGCCUUGCCGUUUGUGUACCCUGAGAGGAGCCCGGUGCGACGCCCACUGCCGCCGAAUAAGGAAAGCAUUUACGCCUAAAUCGACCGGCCAGCAGCUAUUAGCCGGACCGAUCCCAUCGAUCGCAGGGGAAUAAGAACCGGGACCAUGACCGACGAUGACGAGGCUGUUGCUGCAACUACAGCCAAUCAGAUUCCUAGCUACAGUGAACAUGGCCUGCCCUGCAGUGUGAUCAUGUAGGCCAAGCCAAGACCAUCUUGCUUUUCUCUCGUAGGAAGCCAUAGCUAGGGUCGUCGUUGCCUCACGUAAGAGAUACGAAAAGGUGUGUGUGCACCGCGACAUGACUGACCCGGGACGGUUCCCAUCUGCUUUGCAGCUGCUAGCAGUAGGCUACUUGCCCAUUGGCGCCGGCUGCCUGCUUUCAUUAGGUUCUAGAAUAAGGCCACUUCAGCUCGGAAAACCAUCAUCAAUGCCUGUCUGUGCAUGCUUUUCUUUUCUUUUCCCCCUUGCUCUGUCAUCAUGGAACUCAGCGAUAACAAUAAUCUAGCCAUGCAUGCCUGCCCUGUCCGACGUGCUCAAGUGGAGCAUGAUAUUGUAUUUUGUUCAUCCAACGUAUGCAGCGGUCGAACAAUUCUUUUGUGGGCAGGCAUGCGGCCACGAGGGCCGGAAAUCAUGACCGGGAUUUAACAAUGCCCCCCAACUUGCCCAAAACGAUCAGUGGAGCGUCACGUUGCUUCGUAGCCUCACUAGCUUGUGCUUCCCGUAAUAGUAGCACCUAAUACAAUACGUGCAUGAUGAUGCCCACUUCGUGGUGUAAACAAACGCCCCAGUUGCAUGCCUUUUCCCCUCUGCUUUAGAAUGAGUGAGGAGAGAAUGGUGGUCUGUUGAUAACUGAUUGGCAUGUUUCAAUUUUAUUACGCGCCUAAUAGGAGCUUUCUCGGUAACCUGAUGAUGAUGGAUCAACAGAAAGCACCCGAACUAUCAAAAGCUGCCUAGCCCUAACCGUGAUUGGCAAUACAUGGCUCCGACUAACCCUGCAGGUGCGGCGGCUCUUCUGUCCUUACACUUACCCACGUCGGCCGCAUCACGUCAUCGGGUCUUACUCGUACAGGGCCCUAGCUACGUGACCGAUCAAUGAAGCUAAGAAUGACCAAUCAAUUCUGACGAAGAAAUUGAAGAAACAAACAACUAGAGUGAUUUUCAGAUGCGGACAUCGGCCAAUAAAACGCAUGUUCAGAAACACCCCAGCUUGGCUGCUACUGCAAUCUAGGAGUAGAUGCAGUAUAACCAACCAACCAACCAACCAACAACCAAACUUGCCAUUAUCGGACUCACUACCAGCUCCAUCGAUACCUCUACGUCCCGAAAGAUACUUGGAGCAGCAGCCGCAGUCCCAAUCAUAGUAAGCGCGGCUCGCCGCAGGGCUUGGACAAAACAUACCAAACCCUAGAUACCCACAAGCCGUGACUUGCGAGCUAAUCGGUUCGCCUCAUCAACCUUGGCGUGAGGCCGUGAGCCCGAGAAAGUGCGGCGUACGUCUAGAGUCUAGCCUCUCUACUAGAUGGCAAGCUAGAGGAAGCGUGUUGGCAACUUGGCACAUACGACGCGUACAGCGCCACCAACUGUGAACAAGCAAACUGCCCUGCCCUGGCGACCCUAGGACAUCCACUACUUGACCUCCUCGUCCGAGUCCAGGAGGCCUGGCUCGCUCGUUCCUAGCUGGACGCCGUCCGUAGCCGGGGCCCAGAGCCACGGACACGGGGACGUCGUUGUAAUCCCUCCCAAUUUCGGACGGACCAACCAACAACCCGGCUCGGCGUCGGCACUGCGUGCGUAAACCAUGGCGCCCUUUCCUUAUUCGUGCGUCCGUGACGCUGCCGGCCUCGCCUUUCCCUUUUCCUUUCUCCGGCUGCCAUGGACUGGACGGCGGGCGCACAUGCACGCGCGCACGCAACUGGGCUAGCCUGGGCGGCGUACCUGCGGCGGUAGCCUCAUGCCAUUUGCAGCAAGCUCUGAUGGCUCAUGCUUUGGACAACGAAGCAGUUCGUUCCGGCUUUCGGUAACAUGAGUAGUUUUGUCUGUCUAACAUGGAUUGUCUUUGGCGCCUACUAGUAAUAGCAUGACCUUCUCCGACGCUGCCUCGCUGAUUCUUCUCCGGGAGCACAUCGACCUCUGGGUUCACCGCGCCUCCCCCCGCAUGGAUACGGACCCCCUCCAGGACUGGUGCCGAUCCAUGGUCCAUGUAAACUCCUCUUGAUAGGCUGCGCCUCCCCUGUUUUUCUUCCUGAUUUCCUACUGCCUUUGGCUCUCUGUAUUUGCAAACGCCUGUUUUCUAAUUAAUGAAAAAUGGUUCAGGUGGGCCGCUGCCCCACGUCGUUGCCUUAAAAAAAACCUUGUCUGUCUAAGCUAAGCGAUUCAAUUAGAAUUAGCCUGUGUCGAUUUCUUCGUUAAUGGGUGUUAGAAUCUGAUACCCUUAUUAUGCGUAGGAACCCGGAUCUUGAAAGGAUACGACACGAUCUUGCAUCUUAUAAGAACAAUGUAGAUGAAUCUCGUAGAAAAUACUAAAUGAUGACGUUGAGGCAACCACAACAAAAGAAUAGGAUUUUGGCAAAAACGACCGCGGAUUUUUUAAGCACAACUCCCCAAAGAGUACAAGUGAUUGUCGCUCCCUCACAACCUUACUCAACCCUCUAGAACCCUUUGAUUCUUGCCCUAUACAAGAAUCUAAUGCUAUAGAACUCUCUAGCCUAUCCCUCUUGAGCGCUCCUAAUUGCCUCUCACAAGUUUUAAAUAAGAUUUUGGUGUUUGCUUUUGACACCUCCUUAUUUAUACAUGAAAGUAGGAGUCCUACGUCUAGUAGGGUAAGGCGUAGGGUUCAUCGUUCAAGUCGUAGAAAUAAAAAUUCUAAUAGCACAUCCUAUAGAAUUCUAAUCCAAAUAGAAUUUGAGUCACCUUACAACAAUGGCUAAAGCUGGACCAAGUGGCCCUGGUCUAGAAGUAGAAGAAUUGAAGGGCGACGGGCUAGAAACACGAACACAGGCUGGUGUAGUAGCACUGCGAAAUUAAAGGGGGCAGGACAUGGAGGUUUGCAAUCUUUAUUUAGCCCUAGCUGGUGGCCAUUAGGCUAUACGGUCAACAACAGAAAGGUAAUGCUGGCUACUGUUGCCCAGUCCUAUGCAUAGCAUGCAUCUUUGUGUUAGCUCCUACUGCCAUUGUGACACAACUUUUAUUAGACUUGGAUAAGAGAGAAUAAUCGUACACUGACGAGGAGAAAAAAAGAAGUACUCCUAUCUCAGUUAUUGGUACGGGAUGAACAGCGGCAACACGCACGCCGAGCCGUCCAGCUCCAACCCGGGCGAGACACGCUUCCUGGCGCAAUCUGGCGUUUGGGAUGACGCGAUGCGAUCGAGGCCCUUAUUGGAGAGUCAACAUGCGCAUCAUGGCUACUCGUACCUUCGGAGUUGGAAGACCCAUGCUCAUUUUGUUGGCACGCGGCAUAUUUUUGUUCAGACAAAGCUGUGGUAAAUUGGUCCAUUGUACUGCGGCAACACAUGAGAAUUGUUGAAAAAUGGAACUAGGUUUCAUCACAAGUAGCCUUGCACACAGAGUACUUAAGCAUGGAGUUUCGUGCUCUAAGCCAUGUGUCGCUCCUUCAUUCACCCGAACUUCAGCUUACCGCCGCCACUAUCAGGACAAGUUAGAGGUAGGGCUAACCCGAGGCACAAAUUCAAGAGAUAGGUAGUGGAAAAGCAAUGAAAUCUUCGACAAAUAUAAAUUAAUUUCCUCCAAAAGACUUCACUAUAAGUCUGAGGCUGUACUGUUGAUAGAAGAAGGGUCUGUUUGGUUGGGCUGUCUCCCAUUGCUGCCUCCCGUAGGAGUUUGGGUCGUGUCUCAGUUCCAUUGUGGCUGAUCAUCCUCUCUUUUAGGUUUAGGUAUCGUGAAAAGUGAUACCUGUGAAGAUCGUGCAUUUCAGUCACAUUCAGAAAAAGCUGCUGUGAGCUGUGAUGAAGCUGAAAGCUGUUUGGUUGGAACUGUGAAACUGUAGGUUUGCUGGAGACUGUUGAUAUUAAAAUUGAUUGUAAAAUAUUAUUUUGUUUACUAAUUCGCAUGCAAAUUACCAUUUUAGAACGGAAAACUUAAUGUCCGUUAAGUUUUGCAUUCACCAUUAACAUAUGGUCCACAUAAAUAAAUUGAUAGAAUUUUACAAAAGAUAUAUGGUUCAUAUAAUGAUAUCCUUCUUCAACAUAACUAUCUCUCUCGCACUGACCAAAGCAUCAACUAUCCUACUUCGAAUGGUAUUCAUGUUAUCCUCAUUCUCUCCAUCUGGAUUGUCAUCUCCUUGUGCUUAUGCUGUGGCACUGUGUUGUAGCAAGUACUCCUUAUCAACAUCACAUCUAUCAAACAACCUAUCUUGCAAAUUGUUGUCACGAAUAAAAUUAUGCAAAGCCAUACACUCUAGAAUUAUAUGCUUCUGAGUACGAGUAGGAAAACUUGGAAUGCCCUUCAAAAUACGCCACUUCUACUUCAAGACUCCAAAAGCCCGCUCAAUGAUAUUUCGAAGAGAUGAAUGUAAGAAAUUGAACAUCUCAUACUUCCAUUGAGAAGCACACCCAUUACAAGUCGAAACUCUAGUAUAUGGUAUGUACCUCCUUUGUAAGGGGAAAGAUAUCCUAGUCGGUUUGGAUAACCACAGUCGAGACCUAUAAAACCAAAUCAGUAAAGGCAAAUAACAACAGAAGUAUUGAUAGUAACAAAACAUGUAUACCUUUAAGAGGCACGGGAAAUGAAGGAAAAUUUGCUAAAGCAUGAUUCAGGAUCCGGUGUCACGUGGAGAAUCCGACCACCCAGCAACCACAAAGAUAAAUCUCAUGUCAAAAUCACAAGCAGCUAGCACAUUUUGAGAUGUAUACCCAUGUCGACACGUGUGGUUGACCACUUUCUCUGCUGGCACUGCUACUGGAACAUGUGAACCAUCAAUAGCUCCAAUAGCACCUUUGAAAUAAGGCCAAAAAUGAUCCUAUUUGACCUUUUCAUGUUCAACAGAGAAAGUAGGAUCUCUUGGCUUGAUAUUGUCCUUUGCUAACUUACGCAAACAAUUCAAUACUUCAUGAAUCUUGGUGUGAACUAUCCAAAGUGAUCGGGUAAAGCGGUUUUCAGCUUGAGAGAAUGAUUCAGGUCCUCCAACUAUCCACAAGAACAUCGCCAAUGACUCCAUUGAUGAUACAUUGUUGCUUGAUGUCAAAUCGUAGUUUGAGAUGAGCAAGUGCUAUGAAAAUAUCAGGGCUCAUCCUAAACAUCUUAUAAAAGUACCUCGGAUGACCCAUGAUCCUCGUAACCCAUUGAAGUCCAGUUUCUGGUGUUUUCCUAUAUUCUCCUUUGUGCAAAUACUGAUAAGUGUAUUGGUCCCCCAUUUGACCAAUAAUGGUAGCCUGCUAGGAAAGUUCAGCUAGAAGCAGUAGUCCUUUUUGUUCUUUUUUGGCCAAAUCUUCCAUGUUGGCAUCCAUCUACACAAGAUAUGGACAACAAUGAGAAGAAAAUAUGGACAACAAUGAGAUAACAAAAAUUGACCAGCAAUGAUAACAAAAAUUGGACUGCAAUGACAACAAAAUAUGGACAGCAAUAAGACAAUAUAAUAUGAACAACAAUGAAUGGUUCUUAGAUAAUGCAAGCAAAUAAUCUUUUAGAGUACAAGCAACAUUAUUUGAAAUGGUUCUCACAUAACAGGAGCAAAUAAAUGGUUCUAACAACAUCACACUAGAAAUAAAUGAAUGAAAAGUUCUACAGGCGCCUCAUCAACUCCUUCUCAUGCUCCCUCUCAAGCAGAUCGAACCUUCCUUCAUUUAUUUCAAGCGAGCUAAAUACCUCCCUAAAUUCAGGCUUGACGAUUGGGAAGGUGGUUGUGUGCAUUAGAGCAGUUUUUUCUUCCACCCCACAAUCUUUCACCAUCUGCAUUACCUCUUUAAUGCUAGGGACUUGAUUGGUUGGACGAGCUGAUGAAGCUUCAGCACUUGUGGAGAUCUUCUGUGCUGCUGUUUCUAUCUUCAAACAUGUAUUUUUGUAUAGUCAAAAGAAUGGGCUUUUCUCAUCCUUCUCUUCAGUAGCAGUAAAGCUGUCCUUGCAUUUCCUUUUUUCCUAAUUUUAAUUUGUUCAAAGCAGCCAACUUAACAUCAUCGUUAUCUGGAUUUUUUGUACCUCUGCCAGAUUCUCAUCACUUGACUCAUCGGAGGAAAUAUCAUCAGGAUAUGAUGCACUAGCCCUGCGAACAUGUGUCUUAUCAAACAAUAUAUGCAGAUCAUCAAGGUGCUUAGGUCCUUAAUUCCUGAACGUUAUAUCUUUGUCUGGAUUGUUGGAUCUCUAAAAUAAGAUGAUAAAAGUUAGCAAGUCAUCUGCAAAUAAGAACAAAAAUUGAAUAAUUACAGUAAAAUUCUUAUAGCAAGAUGUUUAGCCCAUCAUUCCUUAGAGCAUUCAACAGUUUGUUUUGUCUCAUUCCAUCCAAGCCUAGUAGCACAAUUAUUGACUCCAUAAACCAAGUAUAUUCCUUUUUUAUAUUGUCCAACUUGUUCUUCAAUUAUUUCUUUGUUUGCAUAAGACUGGUUUUUUCUUCAUACUUAAAUGAUAUAUUUUUCCAACCAGUCCUAGUGAAAAUUUCCAAUGACCUAUUCCUAGCUUAUAUCUCUCCUUUGCACAUAUCAAUGAGAUGGUUCACAUUGACAUCACACCAAUCAACUUUAUCAGCCAUUCUUCAACCAAGCAAAAAAAAGUUUUCAUUCAAUUCAGUACCAAUCAUGCAACAAGUAGUUUAUCAUUCUUUUUUUACUAAUCAAGCAUGCUAAUCUGCUGUGUACCAUUCUGAUUGGAUGCUACUGCACAUACAGAACCUAUAAAAAUAGAAUGCACACAAGCACUAACAGCCUAGCAAGUUGAUAUACCAACAUUGUUGCUGACAAUCCUACCAAUCCUACUAAACUAUAACCAUGGUUGCUGCAGCCUAGCAAGUUCAACCAAUCGUACCAAUCCAUAACCAUGGUUGCUGCAGAAUUAUAGACUAACAUUGGAGACACUCAACCAAUAGUACCAAUCUAGAAUCAGUAGGAAGGAAGAGGAGGGAGAGGUACCUGCAGAUCUUGGGCACCACGAGCUGAAGAACCAAUCGAGCAGGAGAGGCAGGGAAGGAGCACCUGCGGCUCGCCGAAGAAUUGGGGGAGCACGAGCUGCGGGCAGCCAGAGCCGAGGGGGAGCACGAGGAGGGGCAGAUGUGCGGCUAUUCUCCCGCCGAUCCCGCUCGGUUGCCCGCCGCCGCGCCACCUAGAAGACAGAGGGAGAGAGGUGGACCGCCGGAGAUGGAGGAGCGCCGUCGGAGCUCGUUUUAGGGCCCGACAGAGGAGAACAGCGGAGCACCACCAGGGAUUGAUUCGAGGAAAAAGAACGAACCGGUAUCUCAUAACGAGUAGUAGGUGGGUAAUUUAGAUGAAAAGUUACCCAAGGAAGCCGAAAAAGCAUGGGGAUACCUACUGUGGAAAAUGAACUACAUCAAAGCAGCUUUCUCUUGAAGUCAAGGAGAUGGGAUACCCCCUUUGGUUUGGCUUCUGGCUUUUUUUGGAAGCCACACCAUUUUGAAAGCUAAACCAAAAGGACCCGAAGACUCUGUGGAUCCAAAAGGUGAUAAAAAAACUCCAAUUCCUAUCAACUGGGAUAGAUGUAUCCCUAUCAUAACAUGUUGAUAUGAUAUGGCACUAGCAUUCUUUUGAUAACCACAAUACUAGCGUUACUUUUUUUUUCGGAUCUAGCCAUGGAUUGGUGCUAGCAACAGCGGACCUAAAUUGGGGUAUCCAACACACUGGCUAUUCUUUUACAAUUAGUUUUUUCCCCUCAAAACACAAUACAAACAUAGGCGUUCGCAUAUAAGCAUAAACACCCUAGCUCUUAUUUGUGAGAUUUCCUAUGUUUUGACUUUGAUUGCAGUAUACUCACUGUCUCCAAAAAAAAAGUCAUCCUAGUUUGGAAAAGAUUGAUUUUGACCAUCAAACGAACUCCAAAAAAAUUGAUUUUGGCCAUAGAACUCGAAAACCAAAUGGCUGGUUUCAAAGGUGGUUCUGCCGAUAUGUUUUUCUAAACAUAUUUGAAAGAUGGUUGGAUAGCUAAAAUUACAGCUAAGUUAUUCGGAACAGAAAAAUAUGAAACCAUACUUUUUCCUUAAAAUAAAAUCCAAGAAUUAGUGCUCUACUUAGAGUUAUUUGGGUGUUAUUGUUCUUGCUUCUAGUGUUUUAUUGCUCGUAGUCGCGGCAAUCAUUUAUUUAAAUUAUGAUAUUGUGCUUUUUUACCUUUAUGUUGAUCGAUGAUGCUUGAGCCCCAGCCUUGUUUGAAACUUGUGUCCACUAGUGUGGCUAGUCAUGCAAAUCGGAUUUUGUUAGUUUUUUUAUACAAAAUAAAUUAUUUAUGAAAUUCUUUUACAUAUUAUACCCAGUUCUUGUUGUAAAUGUUGGCAUCCUCCUCAUAAACAUGAGAUGAUUGACUUACAAGUAGUUUUUCGCCUUACCGCGAGCAAGCCAUAAGUACAAAACAAAAAAUAAAAUAAAAGAAACAACGCUUCUCGUGAUAAGAAAAGCAAGCGAAAGACAUAAAGAAAGAACGCUUUGGAGCGUGACGUUGAUGGUUUGAAGCUGUCACGGCCAAACUACGGCGGAGGCAGAGAAAAAUGGCGCCAAGAUACAGUACGAAGACGUGACACGCCGCGCUGUGGCGCCACGUCCUCUACUUUUCCACAAGUACAAAGGGCAUGCGCCGCAGAGGCACCUUGACUCCCGCCACAAGGCCGGGAACCCCCAAACGGCAUGAGCCCCUCCAACACGGCGUCCCAAAUAUGAUCUGCCGACGCGUGAGUCGUGUCCCGUGACAUCGAUCGGUGCGUGCACGGCAUGAACGAAGGGAGCAAGGUAGCUAGCGAGGUCUUCGGUAAUGGGGAUGAGGUAGCUCGCGAUCGCAUCAGCUAGCCGCUGCACUCCAUGGCUACUUGCAAUUGCAGCUAAUAAGCAGCUGCCGCGUUGGUCCGACCGUGCUUCCCGUCCUGGGCAAGAGCUAUGACUCGCGAGCUCAUCGGCCAGCCAAUGGGUUGGGUGGCCUCGGACUUUGCCGUUCGGUACCGGCGCCGGUUUGAUUUCCCUACCCGGUACGACAACUAUGCGCGCACUACUCUUAGCUCUUGGCUCUAGCUCUCCCUGAGAUACGAUUUCCAUGCAAACCACCUCCCUAGUCGCUACUAAUGGCGAGUACCACAAGGAUCCCUUUGUACGUUGAGUGAAACAACUCGAUCGCAACACCCAAGUCAGAAGGGGAAACGAAAACGAAGCCAAGCAAGAAACUUGCUUGCUGGCACUCUCCACCGUUACAGUUACAGUUACAGUUCAGAACGCCCGCUGGUGAGAUCACAGGCGGACAGAUCCGAUACAGUACUCGAUAGAUCGUCGGACAGGUACUGGUCAUGCCAAGGUUUCAAUGCCCACGAUCGAGACGUGCACCACCGAAAUGAUGCACAGCCGCCAUUGCCUUCGGAUCUUUUCUCCUACCGAAGUACCGAGCCUCUCUGCCAAUGCGGUGGCGGCACGUAAGCUCCCCCCUCCAAAAACGGAACUCGCCAUCUUUUCCCUGUAGGAGGCCGACGUCUCCGCACAUACGCACACGCGUCGCCGUCGCACGGCAGGACUGCGACCUCAAACUACUAGCGUGUAGAGCCCCGAUUGUUGAUGCAGGGUCCUGCUCCGGUUAGGAAACUGGGCGCCCAGUACCUUGCAGGGGUGUACCAGGAUGAGUUGGAAGUUUUGGGCCGAGAUGCGAGGUGUACCCCAUGCCAUGCACAAAACUUCUGCUGGAUGCUUUUACUUGCCGGCUUUGUUUGACAGGCUAGGCCGGGCGUCAUGUCAUGAUUGUCAUGUGUGUGAUGCGCGGUGCUCCAAGUCCUGGUCGUCCGGAGCUUGGUUGAGACCAGACUAGCAGACUACUCUCUUCUGAAAAUCAUCUGUUUCUACAGUAUGUAUUUUUUUCCUUACAGAAAGAGGAAAAUGAUGAAGCAGCAGAGAGCAUCUGAUCUUUGUGCAGACCAAUCAUCAGAAGGAGAGUUAGCAGGACGCAAGCCGCGCCGUAUGGUUACCGAGGCAUUGAGAGCUCCAAGAAGGCAAUAAUACUGGGAGACAGGCAAGGACGUGUAGCUGGUGGCUGCCACUGUUGAAGCCCCCACCAGGACCUCCGAUCGAACUGGUAAUUUACGACGUCGGAAAUUUCUCCGAUUUGGCAGCGCUUAACUUGCUAUUACUCCCUCCAUUUUUAUUUUUAUAAAGAAUGGUAUGACUUGACACGAUUUUUCAAAUAACACUUUAACCAUUUAUUUAUCUUAUGUUAUAUUAUUCAUGGUUAUAAAUUUAUAAUUAUAGUAGAAUAUAUUUGAUUACGAAUCAACUAUAUAAAGUUUAUAUUAUAAAAAUAAAAAAAAUUAAUAGUCAGAUUAUUAGUUAAAAAUUGCAAAAUUUGAAUCUUGAUAUGCGUGUGUGCCUUAUAAAUAAAAACGGAGGGAGGCUGAUAGGUUGUUGUUUCUUUCGCUCAAACUGACGACAUGUCGAGCUGAUGCUGGAUGAACAGGACAAGUGCCAAGGAAGCUUGGUCUUCACUGACUCUGCCGUUGUCAACACGGUGAUUGUGCUUGUUGUGUGUGCGGUCAAAAGGAAAAUGCAAUACCGUAGUAAGGAGGUGUUGGAAUCCAUGGACUAAUUUUUAGUUCGGGUCACGUCGGAUAUUUAACACCAAUUAGAAGGACUAAACAAGAACUAAUUAUAAAACUAAUUGCAUAGGCCGUGACUAAUUUGCGAGACAAAUCUAUUAAGCCUAAUUAAUCUAUAAUUAGCACAUACUUACUGUAGCAUCACAUGAUCAAAUCAUGAACUAAUUAGGUUUAAUAGAUUCGUCUCACGAAUUAGCCUUCAUUUAUGCAAUUGGUUUUAUAAUUAAUCUAUAUUUAAUAUUACUAAUUAGUAUCUAAACAUUUAAUGUUACUGGAAGUCCCUGAACCAAACAGGCACUGCGAAGAAAAGAAAGACCUGGCAGUCGAGGGAAAACCUGCGGCUGUAAAAAGUGGUUAGGGUAAGUCUCAGGUUGCUCAUGUUGCAUGACAUGACUUGGCUGCGAGCUGUAUUAACGUGCAAAGCUACAAUUUCCUCUGGGAAAAGACACUUCCUGCAGCUAAAACCGUCUCCUUUUCAGACUAAACAUGAUUGAUUUUCUGAGCGGCAUUCAAGUAGUAUCGUCGAAUUACCUGGCACAAUUGACCGUGCCCCCUCUGUAGAAACGUGAUCUUUUGUCAUGAGUUUUUAUUUGAAAGUUUCAUGAUUUUUUUUUCAGACUACGCGAGACAUAUGACCUUGAAAAGCUUAUUAUUAGUUGGUUUGUACUGCCACGCUAGGAUUUCCUACUGUAAGUUAUCCUAAUAAUUACCUGAGAAUAUGAUCUUUUGGUCCCAGUCAGACCGAGUCAAGGUUGCAGUGUUUUUAUCCGAUCCUGAAGUGAGAACGAAAAGGGGUCUCGCCUCUCACGUAGUACGUCGGAUAAGCAUGUCCACAUGUGACUUGGCUGCAGGGGGGCUGCAGCUGCAACCAUGGCAGAUAAGCAGACGCCAGUGACGGCCCGAGCCCCACGACACGAGCUCUGCCUGCCUGCCGCUGCCCCUGUCUCUGCGGAGCAAACCGUCCCCUGCCCACCCUGUGCCGCCCCCAAAAGGUGAAGCCCCACGCCAAUACAAACCGGGGCGUAUGCGUAUCGGAUCCUAGCGCAGCAAAACCACUUUGACGAGCGAAUGAUUUGAUUACUAAGGUUGUUGCCCGCCCUAAGAGUUGGUAACACACGUCUUGUUUGUUUACUACUGCUGCUGCUGCUUCGUCAGGCAGCUGAGCUGAACAAGCUGGUGGAUGUGUUGUGAGUGGUUGCCGAUGCCGCCUGGGCAUCGUCCUCGGCGCGCGUCUUUUAUAACCGCGCGCGCACCUCCCUCUUCUCCUGCUGGGCCGCCGAGCAUCCAUCCCGUCCCACCAUGCCGCGAGCCGGAACUGGCCGCAACUUGCAGCCGCGGCAACCAUAAUCCUCUUCCUCCUCUUGAGAAAGAGAGAGAGAGAACUCCAGCCGGGGCUGGUGCCUUUUGCCUCCUCUGCUCUCCUAGGUUGGGAGAGUCUUCGCCAAGGGGAUAGCAAAAGAGAAAGUACUUGCAUACCCCAACAAGGCAACAGCGCCUGCUUUUUGCCUCCUUUUCUCGCCCCCUCCCCCCUCCUCUUUUGGCCGGCCUCCUCUCCUCUCCAGCUCUCCUCUCUCCGCGUCUCGUCCCCGUCUCCCUCUCUUUGUUCGUUUCAUCACUCGAGUUCGUUGGAGUGCGAGGCACGGAGGAGAUCGAGUCGACAAGGAGGGCAGUGGACCACACGGUGACCAGCACACCUAGCCAUGUGGGAUCUUAAUGAUUCCCCGGCUGCCGAGGCCGCGCCGCCGUCCCCGUCCGCCGACGACUCCGGCGCGUCCUCCUCGUCGGCCGCCGCGCCCGUCGAGAUACCCGACGACGCCGACGACGACUCUGCCGCCGCCGCAGCCGCCGCGGACGCCGUGGUCACGCGCCAGUUCUUCCCGGCCCCGGCUGCGGCGCCCGGCGCGGCGGGCAGCGCGCGCGCGGGCUGGCUCCGCCUGUCCGCCGCGGCCCCGCCGCCCGCCUCCAACGGCGCGACGGCCUCCGGCGCUGCAGGGGCGGCGGCGUCCAAGAAGAGCCGGCGCGGGCCGCGGUCGCGCAGCUCGCAGUACCGCGGCGUCACGUUCUACCGCCGGACGGGACGGUGGGAGUCGCACAUAUGGUAAGUCCCGUUGCCGCCGUCCUUUCCUUUCUCGAGAGCUCGAGGAGAGAGACCGCAGCUCGCGAGGAGGCUUGCUAUUGGAUUCCUCUUGUUUUGGGCAUUUCUUGCUUCUGCUCCUUUUGCCUUUCAUAGCAACAUCUUAUCAAAGUUAUUCUUACCAGCUGUUACCAUGCCAUGCUCUCUCUCUUUCUCUCUCACCAUCUUCUCUCUCCUCUCUCUCCCCCCAUGCUCUCUGUUUGUGCAAUGCAGGGAUUGCGGCAAGCAGGUCUAUCUGGGUAAGUUUCAUUCAUGUCCAUCUUGUCCAUGCCCAUACUUGGGACUGCUACGAAUCGCCCAAUCGGAGGCGUCUUCGGUUCUGCUCCCAGUCCCAGGUUUCGAUUCCUCACAAAUGGCUUCUUGUUGUGAUGACUUGCAGGCGGAUUUGACACCGCUCACGCGGCGGCUCGGUAAAGCCUCUGCCUCUCUCUUUGUUCGAUCUUUAUUGGCUCCCUUGCCUUCACUGACUCCCAUGUCCAGUUCUCCGCCAAUCGCAGCCGUCUCGCCGUCAAAUUCUAAUCUUUGUUCGGUUUGCCUACCAACCCCAGGGCGUACGAUCGGGCGGCGAUCAAGUUCCGCGGCGUGGAGGCCGACAUCAAUUUCAACCUGGAGGAUUACGAAGACGACAUGAAGCAGGCAAGUCGGCGGGAUAAACAAACAAAUUACUACAACGAGCAGCGAGAUUUCCCGUCUAAUUAUCGUGUUCGUCUGCCAGCAGAUGGGCAACCUGAGCAAGGAGGAGUUCGUCCACGUGCUCCGGCGGCAGAGCACGGGGUUCCCCCGGGGCAGCUCCAAGUACAGGGGCGUCACGCUCCACAAGUGCGGGAGGUGGGAGGCGCGCAUGGGCCAGUUCCUCGGCAAGAAGUAUGUGGCAUCGAUCGCCUCAGUUCCUUCCCUUCCUCCCUCUGCUCUCCGACUCCCCAACCACCUCGUCUUUCCCCAUCCCCGCAUCAUCAUCAUCGGCUCUUCUUUCUCUGUCGCUGCGCCUCUCACCCCAUUCAUGGCUGUCACCCUCCGGUCUGUGUCACUGCAGGUACGUCUACUUGGGCCUGUUCGACACCGAGGAGGAAGCCGCCAGGUAAAAUAAUUGGACCCGCACUGUGAGCGCGCUCGCGAGGCGCCUCGCCAUGGGCGGUGGUGAACUGAUUGAUGAUGCCCCGUGUCUGUGGGGAUUGCUUGUCGGGUGAGUGCAGGGCGUACGACCGCGCGGCCAUCAAGUGCAACGGCAAGGACGCGGUGACAAACUUCGAUCCCAGCAUUUACGCCGAGGAACUCGAGCCGGCGGGUUCGUGUUCGUGCGCCUGUUGCCCCAUUCAUGCGCCAUCACUGUGCGAUUAGCUAGCUACAGGCGUCGUCUCUGUUCAUGAUGGACAGUUUUUUUUUCCCUCACUGUAUGUGCAGCGGCGACGACUGGCGGCGGCGACGAGCACAACCUGGACCUGUCGCUGGGAAGCUCGGCCGGGAGCAAGAGGGGCAGCCUUGAUGGCGGUGGCGCCGGCGACGACGAGACCUCGGACCAGCGCGUGCCCAUGGCGUUCGACCUCGACUGGCAGACUGCCGCGGCCCGGAGCACGAAAGCAAAGGUAUCCAUUCAUCCUGUCAGUUAUUUGGUCCCGCGUUCUGCAUCGACGACAUAUAAAAUUGUUCUAACAAAGCAACAAAUUGCUCGUGUUUGAACUGCUUGUGUGGGUCGCAGUUCGACGCGAGCUCCAAGCAACCCCAGAUGCCUCCCUCCUUGCAAGGCGCUCACCACCUGCCGUUCAGCCCCAGGCAUCAGCAAGUGGGUAUUUGCAAUCUGUUCCUCGUUCCUUGUUCCUCGAUGGGCGCGAACUGACACUUGUUUAAUUUGGUGCCCAAUUGCGGCAGUUCCUGAGCAACGAGGGCGAUCCGGGGACAGCGGGGGGCCUGUCCCUGGCGAUCGGCGGCGCGGGCGCCGUUGGCGGGCACUGGCCUCCCCAGCUGCUGCAGCAGCAGCAGAGGCUGUUGCACGGCUGGGGCAACGGCGGCGGCACGAGCUGGCCGCUGCCGCCGCACCCUCCGCCACCGACCAACGCCGCCGCCGCCGCCGCCGCGACCGCAGCUGCAGCAUCAUCACGAUUCCCUCCCUACGUCACGACGCAAGGCCCGACGAGCUGGGUUCAGAAGAACGGGUUCCACUCGCUGGCCAGACCCACCUAGAGCAAGAAGGACCAGCGACCGUGCAUCGACCGAUCGUCUUCCACGGCAGAGAGAUCAUCUGACGACGUUCUAAAGCCAAAACGAUUCCUCGAACCACGGCGACGUUUACCGGAGACGACAGACAACUGGACGCAAUUCUUUCCUCCCUUUUUCUCUUCCAUUAUUGCCCUUUUCCCCUUCUUCUCUGUUUCUUGAUUGGGUGAGAGACAUGGAUCCGAGGAUGGAUGGACAUGUAAAUGAGGAGUUCCCGAGAAGACGACGAUGAGUGAUUGGUAGGCGUCGCAUCGAGCAAGCAGUGUGUCUUUUUUGCCGCUUUUUUUCACCAUUGGCCAGCACCGAUGGCACCGGGGUGUCAACAUCACAGCUCAUUUUGUUUGGUCUCAUGUUGCAUCACUCGCUCGCUGCACGAUGGCCGUGGUUGGGGGAAAUUCGCUGCGUCCACCACCGCCGGUGGGCCGACAGAACCUCCGUAUGUGGUGUGGAUUACUAUCUUAGAAUAUUUGUGGUGUGGGUCUCGUGCUCGUGUUAAACCUAGUAUUAUGUGGUAACUGUCAUCAUCAGGCAGCACUCGAAUAAGAUACUUAUUAACCUUGAGAUUACUGCGGCUCCUGUCAUGUGGAAGCGUAUGGCUUCCUACUGGGAAAACUGAUAGGGUGUCCAAGUCUGUAACCAUCACUGGACAGUAAAUCUCUCCUGUAAAGUCCUUUUCUCCGUUGUUGUUGUUGUCCUCUUGAAACAUUGUCUCAAUUACGCUACCUGUUAUCAAAAUCCAGAUAACCAUUCAGUACUUUCUAGGUAGAUGUUAUUUUUUUCUUUUUCUAUUUUUUUUUAAAAAGGGACGUUAUGCAGAUUAUCGGCAAGAGUAACAAUAAAUGCAGUAGUAAACAUUUGGAUAUUGAUUUUAGCGGCUCCCAGUAAUCUCUUGUUAUUUCUCAUGUUAACAGGAGAAAAUAUUUUCAUGCUGUCAGAAUACGACCCUAUUUCCCGGUUAUUUGUGUAAGCACAACCUUUGCAUAACCUGAUUGCCUCCUCUUUAAAAGAAGAAGAAGAUAACCCUAACAUACUACAAGGAGGGAUGGUACAUGUAUACAAGUAUUUUUGUUGUUGAUGAAUCCACUUUGCAUUUCCUUGGAUGUGGUUUAAAAUGUGUCGCCUAGGCAGCUCCCUGAAAGAGAGGAGAAGAGAAACAGUCCCUGGUCAAGUGGACCUAACGUUUUCGCAGGGAAAGGGGAUUCCUUGUUUCUAAUUCGGGCACUGCAAUAAUUGAAGGGUGAAGAGGAAGAGGAGAGAGAGCAGCAGUAUCGUAGUCGUGGAGCAGGGGAUGGGGCCAGGCAGGCCAAUGCCGCCGAGAGAGGGGGCCAGGCCAGCAGCAGGCCAGGAGGAGACACAAGCAAGCAAGCAAGAGCAGCAAAGCAAGCAAAAGGCUUAAAGUGGGCUGGGCCAGGCGCCCAAAGGCUGGUGGCGCGGUAAAGCUGAUUCCAGUAACAACAACUGGCGGCUUUGGACAUGAGUUAAUGUGGACUGCUCCGAUGCCCUGUCGCUCUCCUCGGCCCUCCGAAUCAGUUCGCUCUCCGUCGUCUCAUCGACGUCUCGCUCACACACAACGCAGGGAUGAAGGAUUCAUUCAUUCAUUCAUUCAUUCAUAUGGAUGCCCGUGCUCAGUCCUCCUCCUCGUCAGGCUCAGCCCUCCCUGCCACCACAGUAAUUGCCGGCCAUCCCCUGUUCUGAUCACUCCCAGGUCCCAGGAUCAUUGAUCUUUGCAUGGUCUUGUUUCGUUUCUCCACUGCUGAGCGGCGAACGCCCCGGUUCCUGUCAAGCACCAUCUCGGCAGGGAAACGCAAACCCAUCUUUGGCGCAUUUGCAUGUGUUCCAGAUGCUUUUGCAGCUAGCGUCUCCUGCGUCGUCUUCCGUGAAAUUUCGUGCCGUCUGCGCGUUUCCGGUAAUCGUCUUGCGAUUCCAAGUAAGCGCGCGGCAGGCAAGGACGAGUCCGUGAGUCUGGGAUUAUUGGGAAUCCCAGCUGAAGCAACCUGGCAGCAGCGACGACGCACUUGGGGGACUUCCAAGUCGACUGCCUUCUUCUGGUGUACUCCCCCCUCCCAUUCGUGCAUUUUAAGGGUUCAAAAUUUUUCAGGUUCAAAAUUUAUCCCAAAAUAAUCCUCUCCCAAAAUGCAAUGAUUACAUCUUUAAAUGGGUACAAAUAUAAUUUCUUAAUAGAAUAGAUCCCUUCACCAAACUCACCCAAACUUUAAAAGUGCAUUUGUUUUGGUACGGAGGGAGCAAGGACGGACGGACCAAGCGGAACAGAUGCGACACCUGCUGCACAUGGAUUCUAUACUGCUAGUUAACUAGUCCGCAAUAGCGGCAGAACAGGCUGGACAAGUGGUGAUCAGCACCUGUAACACCGAUCGGAAUGGUUGCAAUCUGCAACUGCACGUAUCUGUCCCUACCUAAACAACUAGACGUACACGGAGCAAUUGCUGCCCUGCCACCAUGGUAAUUGCCGCGGUCGCUUCGUCCAUCCAGUCACCCGGCCAUCCCCAUCCCCUGUUCUGAUCACUCCCAGGUGACCAGGUCCCAGCUGGUUCAUUGAUCUUUUGCAUGGUCUUCUUUCGUUUCUCCCCUGCCCGGCCGGCGAACGCCCCGGUUCCUUUGCAACUUUGCAUGUGUUCCAGAUGCUUGCGCAGCUAGCGCCACCUGCGUCGUCUUCCCUGAAAUUCCGUGCCGUGCGUGUGUUUCCGGUAAUCGUCUCGCGAUGAUUCCUUGCGCGCGGCAGAUACGCAAGGGCGACGAAUCCACGGUCCGGGGUUACUAGUCGUCUUCAGCAGCAUCAUUUCUGUCAUUUCUGUGGUAGGGACGUCCAGCUGAAGGCAACUCGCUUUUCUGGUGUAACGACGUUGGACCGACCGAAACAGAUGGGACGCCUAGCUUGCUAUAUGCACAUGAAUUUUAUUCACUGCCAGUUAACUAGUCCGCAAUAGCGCGGCAGCACAUAGGCUGAUCGAACAACUGGCGACCAGAUCAGCAACUGUACUUCGAACGAUUGGUGAUCAGCACCUGUAAUAGCAGCGACCCAAAUGCAUGGUUGCAAGCUGUAAACUCAGCAACUGGAGUAUUUGUAUCAAUGUAUGUCCCUACUAAAACUAAGAUGUGCAAGGAGAAACUCGCGACCGCGCUGAAGUGAUAGAUGCAAUCUUCUGUCUGCCACAGCCCACAGGCCAGUCACUAGCCUGCAAAACGCAUGGUCCAAGUCCAACGCACCCAUCGGCUAGCAAGGAGCGCGCUGCUGCGUGCUUGUUCCCGCGCGGCCGUACGUGCGGGUGCGUGUGCGCCCCAGGCCAGGGCCAGCCGGCUGCCGUGGGCGCGGCGGUCGGCGGCCCGUCUCGGUCACCGGAAGAGACGAUCGAGGCGAGACCCCACGCCGGGCGUCAUUGGUUUGCCGGCAAGUGCGGGGCACUGGUGCGCCGUGCGUGUACAGCUUUCGCGCAUAAAAAGAUGCCAAAUAAUGCUCCAUCGCUCGCUAGGUUAUCAUCAUCGAUCCAUGCACGCUUCCACUCGACGGGACAGGGGACACUUGCUAGUAUCUAUCCAUCAAAUUCAGAGAGUGCUUUAAACCUCGCGUUCCCAGCUCUCCAUCGUGGAUCGGCCGUCGAUGCGUGCAGGCGGGCCCGAGUGCGGCGUGCAAAAGGUCGCCGGGGCGCCGCCGUACGGGCCUGCAGGCCGGUAAAAACUUCCGAACGGGGGCCGGCCGGCCGGCGCAUGCAGUGGGUAUAGGAACAAGCGUCAUGCAUGGCAUGGUAUGCAUGAAGCGUACGUGACAGCGAUGAUCCAUGGCCUAGCACAAUACCAUAACCAGCGGAUCGCCCCCGCGUCGUCCCGAAGAGUGACACGGGAUCCCACCGCCGGUCCUCCACCUCCAUCACUGUUGGUCCCCCUCCCUUCCUACCUCCGGCAUCUCGUCGGAGGCUGGAGGGACUGAGGAUCUAUCCUUCUAAUAGGUUUUAGUAGAUCAAUUUCAUUUAAGGGUUUUAGUUUCUUCAUGCCGCGGUUCAUGGUAUUGGAGAUUUAUUUCCUCCUCCUCUUUUCUGGCAACGGCAAGGAGGUAGGGUGGAUUUGGUCUGUCCAUGGUGACUCCAAUGAAGAUGAUAGCGGCAACUACGGCAUCGGCAACUUCCUUAGCAUGACAACAUGGACAAUUAGGUUUCCGGAUGGUGAUAUCGAGGUGGGGAUGAUGUUGCCAUCGUGGAAUAAUUUUUUCCAACCCCUUCUCCGUUUUGUCAUGGUUAGAUCCAACCACAAUGAAAGGCUUGUAAGAAUAAUUCUGCCCUUUGAGCUAAUGUUGAUCAGUCUUGGGUUGGGUAGAUUGGGAUCAUUUUCUCUUCUUCAUCGGUGGUAGAAAGAGGAAGAAGAAAGAUGCAAGAAGGAAGAAGAAGAUUUUGCUCGGUCCAGCCUACAGGGAUGUUGGUCGUCAUUCUUUGGGCGCUUGUUCUCAGCCUGCUUGCUGAGCGUAUGCCUGUGCGGCCUUCUAUAUGAAUCUUUAUACAUGUUUGAGAUUAAGAUUUGGAGCUGCAUGACGCGUGAGUACAAUAAAGAUGAAGAGCAGUACUUGAUUGUUUUUAAAUGUAAUUUUAUUUUCUUCAAAAGUGUGCGAGAUGAUGAUGUACUCAGCUUUGAUUUAAUACAAUUCUUCCUUUGAUCUUAAAAAAAAAGCAUGGCCUAGCAUAGCAUGUCCUGUGUGCCCGACCCGUUGCUGGACCGAUGGAAUCGACCGGUCCACAGGAAAGCAGCUAGCUGAGAUGGUCCGAUGGACGUCAUGUGACGUGCAUAUCAGCAAUUCAGCAUAUGCACAAAGCGCAACGUGGACGAGACCCAUAACGACAAGCUACAUGGGCGGAAGAAAAGGAAAGCACAGAGGUGGACGCACGCCUGCCGCCGGCCUGGCCUAGCUAGCCAGCGCGACGGCCGGCAAGGCGCUGUUCACCGAUCUACUACGACGCGAACGUACAAUGCGGACCGAUCGAUCGAUCGGUAUCGAAGGCCAGGCCACACACUCCCUCCAACUACCUGCCGCAUAGUGCGCCUAGGCCGCUAGAGUAGCCAGCGCGCUGCAUCGAUGGAUCGGCACUGCUUGGUCCGGGCAGCCGUGGAGCCGGCUGCCUGCCGGCCCUGUUGGCGGCCUGGCCAGCCUUCCCGAAACGGAAAGUGGGCACCGACGCGCAGCUAUCACGGCCGGAGCUGGUUAUUUGCCGCGGUCCAGAUCCAGCGCCAGUGCCCCCGAUGGCGACGUGAGAGCGGGGCGGGGCGCCGCACGGAAAAAGGGGGACGACGCGCGCGGCCCCGGUCCGCGCCAGGCCGGGGACGACGCGACGUGCUUGCUCGCAUGCUUCGGCGCGCGCUCGUCUCCGCUGUGCUUUGCUCCACUGUUUUUUAACGCGGCGUCGUAGGCUCGUAGCGUAGGCGUAGCCGGCCGGAAGGCCCCAGCAGAGCGCAGAGGCGGCCGGCGGCAGGCGAUGAAUUGGUGGUGUCGAGGACACGCCUGCGCCGUGGGCUACCUGUACUGUACGUGCGCGCAGCGCAUGCACGGUUGGAUCUUGUCGGCCGAAUGUUUUUACUGCCGGCCCUUGCAAGUUGCUACCUCAUGCCGUGCGUCAGUGUCUAUAUAUCGUGCAGUAACAGUGGUUGAAGUGCUCCUGCAAGCAACGUACGCCGAUCGACGUACAGUUGGAGUUUACCACCAGUCUGAAUCGUGCGUGCAUGCAUGCACCACAGCGCCAGUGUAUAUGUGUGCCAUGAGCACAAGGGCCCGUGCCGGCAGGGAGACGGGGCCGGGGCCUGGGCCUUGACGGUGGCAAGCGAUCGAUCUGGACGGUGCGACGCGCGCCGUGACGGGCCAGUACUUGUCUGUGUGUUUGCCCCUUCGGGUGAAAGAUAAAUCUCCCUCUUGGCUCUUGGCAAGGGAACGCCGAACGCUCUUCGAACGACACGCCAUGCGUGCAUGGGAGAGAGAGACCCUGGUUGCUCCGGAGCAGGCGCUCUGACGCCGUGCGGAGAGCAUUCCUGUACACGGACAGAUCGUAACCACGAGGAGUUUCCGUGCACGCUUGCACUUUGACCGACGCAAUGCAUGCAGUCUGCGGACUUUGUGUGCGACCGAGGCUGUGGAGCGAGAUAUACACGAGCUGCGACGUCGACGAUGUACGGCGUAACGCGGUCGCUGACUUGGGGUGCUGAUGGCAUGACCGUGAUGGCAGAAGUCGAGGCAAGCAACUAGCUUUGGGCUCCCGUAUCCCGUACAGUGGUAUAGGCACAACUCGCGAAGCCCGUGUCCACGCCUUGACUCGCAACCAAACGAUCGACGACGACGCCUGUUUAGUUAUGAGAGAUGGUGCACGUGCAGUGGUUUGACCCACAAACCUUUCGCAACACCGCACGUAAACGAUAGUCGCCGGGCAUGAGCAUGACGGCACGGACGCAUACGAUACGCGGCCCGCACACAUAUGAUGAGGAGGCUCCUCACGACCUCACCAAUCGGGCUUAUCAAAAAUUCAAAGCCACACGGGAUCCAGACGAGCACGAGCCCGCCGCACUCCUCGCAAGCGGUCACGUCUCACGACGCACGUGAUCGCGGCCGGAGUAAGAAGAUUUGCCCACAAAUUAAAGCGGGCUUUCUCCGGCGUGGUCCGGUGUUCGCUUGGGCUGGACCCAUGUGCGCGGAUUGGAGAAACAGCCCAGCCCAACUUGGAAGGUCUGUCUGCAUCUUGUGGCCGAAUUUUGAUAGUGGGCCGAAUUUUGACUGCCUGGGCUGAAGUAACGGCCUUUUCUUUUAUAACUGGGAGCUAACUUCUUCUCGUUUCACCUAGCCAGAAAACGAGAGCUCCAGGCCCGCCGCCGGCCGCCGCAUCUAUCCUGCGCCGGCUCGCCUCACCUCUACGCGGGGGUUGGGGGUGGGGGGGGGGGGGGGGGGGGGGGGGUGGUGGUGGAAAUCCCCAUGGCGUCCACUGCGCCGGCGCCGAUGACUCCGCAGCUCCGUCUCGCUGCGCGCCUGCUGUCGCUGCUGCUUGUGUACCCCUCGUUCGCGUCUUCACCAACUGCUCCGGAUUCAGACGCCCCGACGCCAAUGCGAGCGUGGACGCUUUAUUUCUUGCACCUGCUGCAAUCCGACUACACUGCGUUCCGGUUCGCGUGAUGGUUCUGGUCCAUCUACUCGCGUACAAGUUCGAUCACAGGUUAGUAAUGCGCGUACUAAAUUUGGCAUGACAUUCUAGGUUCGAAUGGAUAAGGACACUGCCAUAUUGGGGUUUCGCUUUCGCUGAGCUACCAACCUUUUGGCAUACCCCAACACAGUGACUGACAUUAUCUGCAUCUUCCAGUGGAGUCUGCAUGUUUUUUUUUUCCAGUCACAUGCCAUUUAAGUUCAUUUGAUUCUAGGUUGUUGAACCGUCUGUGCACUGUGCGCAACAGCGUAAAGUAUACUUUACUCUGAUCUCUCAAACGAAUUCUCUUGACAGAAAAAUACUGUAUGGUCAGGGUCUGUAGCUGCAUCCCUCGCAAUAAUCAACACAACAAUCAGAUAGGCUACGACACCUGGAGCAGACGAAUGCAGAAUUUAAGAGGAACGAACAAAGGCACCCAAUUUAUUGGAGAACCAAAUGCUGUUGCACGCAACUCUCCUGUCCACCGGCGGCACCGCCGACACUUUAAAGCUCCUCAAUUAUGAAAAUCUAGACCGUGUCAUGCUAAUCUAACCACUCGGCUGGCUCAUCACCGGCUUUGCAAAACUGUGAUUAACCUGUGCAAUGGAGGCUGCCUUUGGGCCCGGGACCCUUGCGGCAGUGACCCAAAACCGAAGCUUUUGCCCAUGGUGAUGCUAAGAUCAGUUUCAGCUUUGCUGUACUUGUGUCAUUUCAAGGGCCUACAAGGACACCUUUAUUUGCCAGGUAGCUCCCACACGGAGAGCUUUGUUCUUAUACCCGCCUCACCUUUUCCGUUUUCUCCCUACCAUCCACCUUUGUGUCCUUGUCCUCAUCUCCCCUUCUCCUCCAUAGGAUGCUGUCACAGGCGCACAGUGAGUGACUCAGCGGCAGCUCAUUGUUGGUGAGCUGCGGCAGAGCCACUCCACUACUCACUGUCACUCGAGGUCAGUUCACCACUUCAUCUAAGCUGCCUUCUUUGAAUCUUUCUUCCUUCCUUCUAUGCUACUCUUGUCCUUUGGAUCUUGUCGGUGUGCGUCGAGUGCGGUGAGUGAGCACGCACUCCAUGUUCCUUGUUUGGUGGUUGUGAAAAUGAUGGGGGAAAUCGGUUGCCUGAUGGAGAACUCAGGGGAAUGGGGGUUUUCAGAUGGUGAUGUUUUUGGCUUAAUUGCUUCAUUGCACUUGCAUGCAUGCCAAAGACCCCGUUAUCGUAGUAGUACUGCUUAACGAUUGACCCUUACGGGUGGCUUUGUAUUCUUGCUUAAUUUUGGGCGAGAUUGUGUUGUACGGUCGUACCAUUGUUCUUCUGCUGAUUUGAAAUAGAGAAUGCUCUUUCGUGGAUAAUAUGUCCACUGUCCAGUGCGUAGAACUUUUUUCCAUUUCUUGCUUGGGCUUCCUCUUCCUUCCGUUCUUUCCUCUUCUCCCUCUCCUCUUGCGGGUAGUUUAGUUCUUUGCCUGAAACAUUGGUGCAGCCAAUUCACAAGCAGCGCUAGAGUCAGAUAGUGACAUGUUGGCCCCAACCUUUAAUCAACUUGACCGCUUUGUUUUGUGCUCCACUGUCCACUGCAUAGACUUUUAAGAUUUGUAUUAGGCUGCUACAAAGAGUAGUAGCGUUUGGUGCGAUUCUUACUGCAUUACAGCUGCAAUUUUGUUUGGAACCAAAUUUAUUCACACUUUAGGAGAAGCAUCUCUUUAUUAUAUGCUAGUGUUUACAGUACCUUCAGCUCUUUUGACUUUCUGGACAACGUACUCGUGUCACAUAAAUGUUUUCAUGUACCUACCAGUAUAGGAAGCUUUAUUCGUUGGGUUGGCCUCACUUUUUAUGGUAAGCUAAAUGCCAGAAAUCGAUCACUUGUGGAGUUCAUGCAGAACCUGAAUUGCUGGCUGAAUUUGUACUAACAAACACUAUUUCAGGAAACUCUGCCAUAUUCCUUAAACAACUAGUCUUUUGCUGUGAGUGGUGUGUACUAAGGGUGGAGCUGAAGUAACCUCAUCCUUUUGUUUCUGUUUUAGUGAGCAUCACUUUCUGUAAUGGAAAAAAAAUCAUAUUCCAGUUGUAAAGAAACUGUUAACUAUGACACGUGGUUUAGGUAAUGAGAACGAUGAUCAUCUAACUAGUAAAGGUAAUGGAUAAGUUGUCUUCCAAGGUUGUUUCUUAACAAAAUGCAAAACAGUGAUGGAAUCAAAUAUGUAAUAUGGAUGAAGGAUAUUAUGUACAAUAGAUUAAACAACAUCAGAUAUGCAGUCCCCUUUUACACUGAAGAGAUACAGUUUCUACAAUUGAAUGUACAAAGAUGACUUGAUGAUAGUUGAAGUUGAUAUGUAUCAUGUGGUAUUUAUCUUGCCACUGGAAGCCCUAGCAGAUAUUCUUCCUGUAUCCACCCUUAAACAUUUUUUCAUCUGUCUUUUUAUGCCCAGGAACAUUGUUGAAUACUGAUCGAAAUUAAGCUUUCAUUGAUGGAUCAUAAGGCAUGGCUUUGGAGAAAGAAAUCAUCAGAGAGGGAGCUGGAGGUACAUCAUCUGUACUUUUUAAAUUAAGGAGUUUAUAUAAAAAUUUCAGAUUUUUUAUCUGAAACUUCAUUUUUUCCAUGCAGAAGGAGAAGGUUCUAUUGUUAGAGAAAUCCUUGCAAGAUUUAAAUGAACAACUUUCAUUUGCUCAUUCUGAGUGUGUUGAGAAGGAUGCUAUUUUAGCCAAACAGGCAAAAGUAGCUGAAGAAGCCAUAUUAGGUAUUAAUGUACUCAUUUGACUAUUAUUGCCUCACAUUUUCUUGUAUCAUAGGAUAUGUGCUAUUUGCUGGAAAUUCUUUUUUUUACAUUGUUUGUAUUGCUAACGAACACUAGGUUGGGAAAAAGCGGAGGCUGAGGCACUACUUCUCAAGACACAACUUGAUGAUACACUGGAUGAUAAAACUGCAAUUGAGCAAAGGAUUUGCCAACUUGACGAGGCUUUAAAUGUUGCAAUGGUAGAGAGGGACUCGUUAAUAAAGGAAACAGCUCAAAUGAUUUCAUGUGAACAAGACAAAGUUCAGAAGCUGGAAGAAAGUUUAGUGGAAAAAAUAAACAUAAUUGCUAACUUAGAUGCCGAGAAUGACAAACUUUCUGAAAUUGUCAGUGUUAAAGAGAACAUGAUCUCAGAGCUAAUUGAAUCGAAGGGACUAACAGAAUCAAACCUCAAGGACCUUGCAAGGAAGCUAGAGUCAGCCGAAAGAACAAAUUCUUCACUUAGAUAUGAGGUUUGCAUGCUGCAGAAGCAACUUGAGAUUCGAAGCGAAGAGAGGAAAUUUAGUCUCAAAUCUGCUGAUGCUGCACACAAACAGCAUCUUGAGAAUGUAAAGAAGAUAACCAAACUUGAAUCAGAAUGCCAGAGACUGCGUUCAAUGGUACGCAAACGAUUACCAGGUCCUGCUGCCAUUGCAAAAAUGAGAAGUGAAGUUGAAACAGUGGGCAGUGAUACAACGACCACAAGGAUGAGAAAGUUAAAUUCAGCGGCAUCACAGAACUCAUGUGUUUCGGUACAGAACUCUCAUGAUGCAUUGCAUGGAAAUUCGCCGUUGCUUGCAAGGCUACAUGCAAUUGAAGAUGAAAAUAAGGCCAUAAAGGAAUCUCUUUCUAGAAAGGAUGGUGAACUUCAGUUUUCUCGGACUAUGCUUGCCCGCACAACUUCCAAACUUUCCCAAGUUGAAGCCCAGCUUGAAGAGUUAUCAAGAGGCCGGGCUGGUGCUGAAUUGGUUAAAGGUAGCCCUACAGUGGUGGAAAACCCUCUUUCAUCUAUCUCUGAGAAUGGCUGCAAUGAAGAUAAUGUUAGCUGUUCAGGCUCAUGGGCAUCAGCCUUGUUGUCUGAACUGGAACACUUCAAGAAGGGGAAGCCCACAGCACAUUCUAGUAAGAGCACAGCACUAUCAGACAUGAGUUUCAUGGAUGACUUUGCAGAAAUAGAAAAGUUAGCGUCGGGAUGUAAUGAUAAACCUCUGGAACCAUAUGUUUCAAAGAAAGAGGUCACAGAGUCAUCUGGAAAAGAGCUAGUUCCAGUUGAUGUCUCUGCUGGAACAACUGACCAAAUUCACCAACCUAAGAUUGAGAAGGCUGUCCUGAAGUUAAUUGAACUUAUUGAGGGAGUUAUCCAGAAAUCAUCAAAGGACUGUAGUAAGACAGUUGUGCUAUCUGGCGGAGAAGAGAAUAAUGGCCAAGAAAUGCUAUCAGGCUAUGUUGCCCGUGCUUUCUUGUGGAAUAUAUCAGAACUUACUUCUGUACUGCAAAACUUUGUCUUCGUGUGCAACGAGCUUCUGUAUGGGAGUACUGAUGUUGAAAGCUUUGUUCAUGACCUCCAACUCACAUUGGAUUGGAUAAUCAACCACUGCUUCUCACUUCGAGAUGUAUCAGACAUGAAGGAAGCUAUCAUGAAGCAUUUGGAAUUAAACAACAGUGAUGGACUUGAAAUUGUUGCGGUAACUGGGCACACAGGAAUCCAUACAUCAGAUGAACCUAGAACGGCGGAGAAUGCUCAGACAUCUAUAUUGUCUGACUCAGGCUGUAUAAAUAUGGGAUCUAAAGAUGAUGUUAGCACACAGAAGACAAGUAAUGAAGUGGCAGUCUCUAAAUUUCAGGGGAUAGAAGAAAAGGCUUCACAUUUGCGGGCAGAACUUAAUGAGUUGAAGGAAUCUGGAAAAAUAACAGCACAUGUUGAUGGUAAAUUGACAAUGAAUGAAUGUAGCACACGUGAAUCCAUCUUCACGUCUGGACUGAAUAAGGGCAAACAAGAGGGGAUUAGUUGUCCUGAAUCCAAGCAUCAACUUGAGUGGUAUUUCUUUUUCAUCCUUGUCCUUCCAUGGUUGAUAAUAUUCAGUGUUUUGUCUAACAAAAGUUAUUUGCUUGCAGUUGCUCUGCUAAAGAAGGCUCAAAAAAUGUUGCUGACAAUGAAGAGAAACAUCUGCAGAUGGUGAGAUCUUUAUCGAUCUUUCUUGUCCUUAUCAUUUCCCAGAAAGAAAUGGACAUUGGAUUUGUAUAUUUUCAAUCAAGUUUCUGUACUGUGAUGAAGCACAUUCUAUAUUUUCAAAUUGGUUCAGCUGUAAAACUGAGCAGUAUAAUCUACAUUUUCUUUUUCCACCAGGAAAGCUGCUUUUCUUUGUUUAAAUGAGUAACUGAACCUUAAACCAAUGCACGUUUUCUCUGCCCAAAUUACUAACUGAACCUUAAAUCCUUUGGGUCACAGCAGCUGGAGAUCUCAACAGCAUCAGAGAAGUUGAUUGAGUGCAGGGAGACAAUCCUAAACCUGGGAAAACAGCUGAAGGCGCUGGCAUCUCCAAAGGACGCGAUCCUCUUCGACCAGGUGCUCCAGACCGCAGCUCGGUCAGAGCGAAAACCCCGAUCGCAAUCACUAAGCGAGAUGCUAUCUAUGGAGGAUGGCGGAUUCUAUGUCCCAAGCUCCCCGAAAACCAAGGAGAUCAUCUGCACUGAACCAAGGGCUUCAACUGAAAGAAACCUCUCUGCCGACGAGGGAGAUGAUGGUUCCGCCGCAGCAUGCAGUUCCUCGCACCCUAUGCCAGUGGCACAACCCGUAAAACAGGCUUGCAGGGUGAACGGAACCUGCAAGGGCGAAGCUGAUGUGAAGGUGGUAACACUUGCCGUUGUCCCGAGGAAGCAGAAGGGGAACGGCAGCUUGCUGAAGAGGAUAAUGACGGGGAGGAGGAAGGAGGCCAAUGCCAUGGCCAAGCCACAGGUGGUGCUGAGUUCUUAGCUGACAGAGAAGGAUGGGAGCCUCGGACAUGGCGAGUCUUUGUUUCAGGUGUAAAUUAAGUGUGUGCGUUUGUGUGUGGAUCGGAGCCGUGUUCAGGUGAGGUUAGUAAUAAAGGUGCACUGUGUUGUGUAUAGGCUGUAUGGAUUAGUAUGGUAUGUGACGUAGUGCUACUCAUCGUGACCCUGAAGGCGGUUUACCUGCUUGUGUGUUCUGGGAAGGUUGUUGUACCUGCGUUGAACUUUGAUAAUGGCUAGUGGUUUAUCUGCAUGUGUUUGUGUGCUUCCUCUGUGAUAAAAGAACCUUGUUCUGAAAGACAACAGAUGCCUGAUUGAGAUUUUGUUUCCGAACUUGCUCAUAUACAAUGCAGUGAACUUACUCUGUGAUAAAAGAACCUUACUGUCACAGUUUGUAGUUUGGGUCGAAUACUAUGGUGGAGCACCCUGACGCUCCCAGAGAAUACAACUUGGCAUUGCUACAUCAUUUCAAACCAAAUUGUAACCUUAGUAUUGUAGUUAGGACGUCUGCUUUGCUGUCAGAAGCAGGCGAACAAAAGCAGGGACAUACUAGCAUUUCGCCUGUUAGAACACAGGCCUCUACAUUCCCUGUAGUAAAAGCGAACGCCCGUGGCCCGAUGCCCCCCGGCCGAGCUGAAGCGGAGCAGCCUCCUGCGCGGUGGCCCAUGGUCGGCAGCGGCACCCAACGAGACGGGCACGGGUUACCACGGCACCACCAGCGCAAGCCGCCGCAGUGCCGCGCGCGGCCGGCCAGCGGCCACCUCCCCGGCCCCCGCCUGUGCCGCUGCCGCUUGCGCCUGCGCCUGCGCCUGCGCGCGUCGUUUUCCAAGCGCACGUCGAGUCCGUGCGCGCCUUUGCAAAAGGCCGCGACUGACUGCGGGGUAGUCUCGGUAAAGAGCGACAUAAGCGCACCCCGUUCGCAUCGCAUGCACGCGCCCCUCUUCUUCCUUCAUCUCAGCUCGCGCCCGCGCCGUCCCGUCCCCUCGACCCCUCCUCGCCUCCUCCUCUCCCCGGCCGCCCGCUGCGCCGCGGGUCCGCCGGUUGCUGGCCGGGGGCCGGGGCGUGCGUGGGCUCCCCCGGCGGUUGGAAACGUACGGGCCCCGGCCAGUGACGCCAUGCCAUGCCGCGCCUGCCUGCUGGGACUUUACUUGGGUUCGAUCAGCUGAUCGUCUUUUUUUCAGCGUGCGAUGGCCUGGCCCAGCCUGAUGCCCCCUGACGCCGUGUCUCCCAACGGUUUCCCCACACCCUUUCCGCUCGUCGGCCUGGAAACAAGUUCUGCAUGCCACGACGGGGCGUUCCAUACUUUCACGAUCGGCCGGGAUUAUCUGCUCUUGUCCGCGUAUUCUGUUCUUCAUUCACGUGACCUGCACGGCAGAGAGAUACUACGUACGGCGCAGUGUACGCCUUGGCUCAACACACACACACACACCUUUACCGCUUUUACAUUCCUCGCAAAGGCAUGGGGCGUACGCAGCAGCUCCAGCUCUGGUCAUUUCUCUCGCUGCUGCUAUUCGUACUCGUACAGGCUCAUGCUGUGUUUCAGAUACACUGCACGGCGUACGAAGCCCCCGACCAAGUCAGUAUGAUUGGCGUCAGAGAGCAUGUUUCAUAUGCAAUUAUCACCAUGAUGUCAUCGGUACAUGUUUAAAGCGGAGCCGAGGAAGAAUGUAUAAAGCUGGAGCGGAAGGCCUCCGUCAGGCCUGGGUAUAAUUGCCUCAUAAAGCCUGAACUUGCGUCGCCUACAAGCUUAUACAGAAAUCAUUUGCAGCGCGGAAAGGAUCGAUCAGUCUCGCCUGAAACUUUCUUGCAUGGCCUUAUAAGUGUCGUGUAAGCAAUGCAUUUACAUACACACCUUGUUUAUUUUUUUUUGUAUGGUCAAUUAAAUGAGUAGUGUUAGUGUCAUGCAAGUUCGUAGUGUUUGUUUUUCUGUUCUCUUGACAAAGUGCUUGUCAUGCAUGAUAGCGCUUAUCAACUCAACUCUGGCCUUACCCGACAUGCUUAUCGUGUGAACGCUACAAUGUAGGGUCUACAAACCCUGCUAAAUGGGGUGCUCUGUGUCAUUGUGCGCCUCUUUAUGCAACACGCGGGCGGAUUACAUGCACUUUCUUCCACGCGUUCAUAUAUACUUAGCUUGAUGCAGCUUAACAAUCAUAGUGAAACCCUAAUAUCGUGGACUAGUGUCUUCUGUACUAUGAUGCUGUUGCUGCGCCAACCAAAGCUCUAGUAGUGAUUUUGUUUUAGCUGGCAUGGUAGCAGUCAAUUGGAUUGUCAGAGUAUACUACAAGCCGUAUAUAGCUACCUUGCCUUUGUCUCAUUGUGAUCUCAAACAUGCAGUAGCCUGACCAAAUUAAGUAUUGGGUAACUGGUAACUUUUGACCACUCACGGUGACAACAAAGGAUACGCAGGUUUAAGCAAUCCAAGCAUGUCCAUACUAGAAUACAAAGCACACGUGGAUGCGACGACUAGAGUUUUCACGACGACUAAACCAAUCCAGGAGACCAUUCAUGCAUCUUGCAAGAAGACACAUCGAUCGAGCUUGCUUGCACAUACGCGAGGCCUGUUAGUUAAUUAGCUUUGAUUUCCCCUGAUCAGGACGCAACGGGAAGAGCUCCAGGGUCACAUCGUCCGUGCAGUCGGCUACUACCUCCGUCGCCGGCGCGGCAUCGCCAUGGACGUCGUCACCCCAGGUCCUGCACCUCCGCUUGCGGCUGGAUGCAUCUUCACAUGAUGCUUCCUCCUCCUUCCCUACUCCAACCUGCGGAUAUACGAUCAUGGAGAUCAAUAAGUAACUCAUCAAGCACAUUCUGACAUUCAUGUGUGGAAGUGGAAGGAUACUGUUCACUGCAUCUAUAUGUGCAUAUAUUCAUGUAUGGCUGCCAUUGAUCAUUACUUUGGUUUCAGGUGAUGGUAGAGAUGAAGUGGUGCUGAGGGUGAGGAGAGCUGCGCGCUUCUGCUUCUGCCGCUCGCGGGCCUUGUGGUUCUGGAACCAGUAGAACACGUUCUUGCCCUCGAUCCGGCCAUACUUGCCGAGCUCCUCCGUGAUCUGCUCGAUCUGGAACGAGUUGGGCGUGCGCAUCCCGCCGCGGUACAGCAUCUCCAGCACCUUUAUCUGAUCUGGCGACGGGUUCCAUCGUGUCGUGCCACCCGUCGGCACUUGCACCUGCAGCUUGCACAGUACAAAGAUCAUCAGUUAGGUCGUCAUCAAGUCAGCGACCACCUACGUACCUUGUUACUACUGCUAGUACAAAUAAGUAAUAACGAGUGUUUAUUUGGUUUCUAACCGUGCAGUUGAGCAGCCUCGAAGCAUUUCUGACGCGGGAAAACUCGGGAAGGACGACCAUCUUCCUCGCCUCAGGGAACGAGAUCUUCGGCGCAAGUGGGCGCAAGCAUUGCAGGGCCAAGGGGAUGGCAGAUGAGCUGAGAGACUGGGAGAUGGAUGGUGGAGACGACGACGGCGAGGCCGCUUUGUCCAAGUAAGCCACAUGGAAAUGGUGAAGCCUCAUGUUUAUAAACUUUGCAGUUUUCAAAACUUGUGUGUGGAUGUAGACGGAGUAUAUGUAAAUGGAAAGUUGGGGAGCUAGGGCUAGGUGAGAAAGAGUCCCAGCGUCCUUGCGUGUGUUUAUAUAUGGGGAGACCGGAGGCGAUCGAUAGGUAAAGGGCGGCGAGGGUUUUGAGUGUGUUUGUGCGCGAGAUCGAGGUAACAGUCGAAAGGCGUGCUCUCAUGUGGGGCGACAGGGAAUGUGGAGAUUGCUGGAGGGAGGGCGUCAGCAUUGGUGAAUCGCAAUCAUCAUCAGGGAGCCACGAAAAGCAGGCGCAGUAAUAAAGGUGAAAAGGUAAAAAUUCUCGCAUGGAGCUCUCUUUCUUUUCACCUUUCUUGUCGAAAUUCAUGGCGAUUGACAAGGAAUAUAUGAGGGAGAAUGUCGAUUCUACUUCUCUGUACGUUUGCAUGCUGUUAAAGGUAGUUUGAAUCUAUCCUAGCUAGAUCAGUAAACCUUCACCUAGAUUGUUUAAUUUGCAGUGUUAUUAUUAGAUCGAGCGAUAGUUUUUCUCUCUCCCUCAAAACUAAUUAAAAUGGACAUUUCACUGCUGAUCAGAGCACAGCUAGAAAGUUCCAUGCUACCAGAUCGGAGUUCAGUAAUCUUUAUGCAUGUAUAUGUACUUAUUGUGAUGCCCUGAUCAGUGUGCUUAACUGCUUGAUUGUGAGCUAUUCAUGCAGUAGAUAUAUUUUGUAAAUUUUGAAGGAACGACCAAGUAACUUAGCAACCUUCUACCAGUUAAUUUUCACCUGACAAUUAGUCAAUUACUAACCUUAUGCGUGUAUAUAUCUUCAUCUGACAAUUAAGCAUCUGCACGAUCGGAGUUCAUUAACCGUACGCGUGUAUAUGUAUAUACGCACCUUGUAAUGCCCUGUUCUGGAUGUUUAUCAACUGCUUGUCAUGCAGUUGAUCGAGUAGUAAUUUGUAAGUUUGAGGUUGUAUAUGUAUAUACAUCUGCAUGAUUAUUGUUGCACAUCAUCAUAAACCAAAUAAAGGCCAGCAAAAAGAGACGCGUAUCCUUCAUUCCUUCUCCACCAUCUGUAAGAUUGGUUUCUGCCAUGCCUAUGCGUAGUACGUGUAGCUACCCAUAGAAGCCUACCAAGAGUAGACCAUCACCAUCUAAAACCCCCGUCUCCAUAUCAGCCCAGGCCGCCAUCAGUGAAGCUGCAACAUGCAUGCUAAUCUAUGAUUGGAAAAGGCAUUGAUAUGCAGAGGAAAGCAAGAACCAGCAUGAUGGGUGGUGAGGUUGACCUCGGAGUUAGCGCCGCCACCCGCCGUUGAACCUGGAACAGGAUACUGCACAUGAACAGCUAGCCUCGAUCGCUUUCCUGAUCAUUAAACGAGGCUGAAUCAAGAAGCAACAUGCAGGUGGUGAGGGAGAAGAAGAAGCCCAUUCCUAGCUAAUGACACAUCGCUGUCACGCACAUCAUUCUCGGGAGAAAGUUGCCGGCCGGGUACACCCAGGAAAACGAGGCGCAUGCAUGCUUUGCUUUGCUUCUUCCGUAGUUCCAUGCGAAAUACAGUAGCAUAAUUUUACAGGUCGAUCUCAGUGCAAUCACAACUAGUAGUUGAUCGAUCUUGCAUCUGCAUGCGUGCAUGGGCUAGCUGGUCCUGGCAUCGGAGCGAGAUCGAUCAGUCGGGGUAAGCUAGCUGCUUUGUUGUUGUACUACCAGCAAGCAACGCCUGCAGCGAGUGUCACACACGCAAUGGCACACCGAUACAGCAUGCAGUGUCGGGGGGCCGUCAAAUCGGUCGGGCUUUUACUCCCCAGUAAUCAUGGUAUAACAAAGAGGAAGAGGCCCCCUGACUGACUUUCCGGUGAAAUUAGGCCAGGGAGUGAGUGAGCCAGGCAUGCAUGGGGAUUAUUAACGCAUGCAUGCGUAUGUGUAUGGAUGUACGCCUGCUAUCUGUGUGCAUACGGCGUGGGAUUAAGUGAAAAGAGAUCGUGGCAAUCCCGAUAAAGCGGUGAAAUGCCAAAAGCCCGGAAAAGGGAAAAGCUAAAACGAGCGAGCAGCAGCGUCAAGCCGGCGGGCUGACGUGCAAGACGUACGGUGUGUGGUCUGCGGCGUGCCGCGCGAGUGGAGAGGGGACGCGCCGUGGUGGGGAUGACGUGCGUGCGAGCAAAGCGUGCUCUUCUGUCUUCUCUGCAUCCCCUCCUUCCAUCCGAAUGCCACUCUCAAUCUCUACGGCGACAUGAUCUCCUCCAUCAAUAUAAUCGCUCGCUAGCAGCCACCGUCUCAACCAAUGCCCAGCAGCAGGAAGAAAAUUCAGUGGGGACGGUCCCCAAAGUUUCUUCCACACCAGAUGGCCGACGCGUGGGAAAGGCUCUCAGCGAUUCAGCUCGGCUCCCUCCAAGGCUAACGUGCAGCUUGGCUCCCUCGUCUCCUGAUCAUUUGAUGGCGAUUUGCAGCCGAUGAUCCAAGAGGGGAGACCAAUUCAAGACGACUGGUUUUGAUCCAGGGGGCGGCCCGCCAACAAAAAUUCACGCACGCACGGAGCACGGUUCGACUUUUCCCUUUUUGUUUGCGUGUGAUUUUCAUUGUUGCCGUUUGUUUAUGUACUUUUUGUACCCUGCGAAGAAAAUGCUAUCACUGUCGUCGAUGGCCUGUGUUGUUUACAGGCAAGGCAUGCUGCUCGGAAUGGCAAAAAGUGAUGUGCUGCAUGGGAAAGGAAAUGAAUGCUACUCCAGUUUAAUUUGCGUCAUGCUUAUGUUUGGAAGUGGGUUGCCUGUAAGGCUAUAUGUGGAUGUUUUUAAUGCAUAUGUACAUUGACAUCGCAGGCUCAUCUUUUUUACAGUUACGUGUGCGGUGGAUGACAACAGAUUCACAAAACAAGAUUCUACUAACUGGAAACAUGAACCAAAUAUGCAUCUGACAUGGGAGAAGUCUAUCUUCAACAUAACAUGAAGCGGCAGAUAACAUUAUGCCACAAGGGUCCCCUGCUGAAGUAAAGGACCUGCUUAGGAACUAGAUUACUCCUAUGUCUCUGUUCCAAAAUGCACCAUCAAACAUCGGUGUCCAUACUUCUGAAAUAUGUGGACUGAAAAUGAUUCUCGCUGAAAGAAGAUUCAUGUUACCAAAUCAAUGUUCAAUGUUUACUGAAUGCGCUGCAAUUUUGAUAAAUGGCAGAUACUCAUUCAGAGCAGCAGAUGUAGAUAUAAAUGAUCAUGCAGUACAGAGCAGCAGCUGGGAUUCUCUUCCUUUCCAUCUUCUCUCCUCCCUGCAGUAGAGUCAGAUAAUGUUCAUAGGAUUAUAUUCAUUUUGCAGAAGCAUAACUGUGUUACAAAAACGAGUGCAGAUGAAAGAAAAUGCAGGGCAAGUUGAAGCAGUGAAGAUGCUUACAGUGAUUGUUUCUUCAGAAACCGAGACUUGAGGUGUUCUUUUGUCAAAUGCUUGCUUUGUGUGGUGGCAUUCAGAAUUUCAGAUCAUGCCGUCCAUUGGUGUACCACUUGAGCAUAGGCUUGGAAUCCUGUUCUGAUACAUUCUUGCAGAAGCUUUCUGGAGAUCGCUAUGCACUCUGACUGGCCGGCCAAGCUAUAUGGGCAGCUGGUCAGCGAGAUCCAUGAGCAGGCUCAGUUGUGGUGCAACGCUGGCGCCAAGCAUUUGUCUCUUCUUGGCUGGCCGGCGGCAGUAGGCCUGCUAGCUACUUAAUUUCUCUUUUCAUCCUUUCCUGGUGGUUGUUGUGUGUUUUCUCUAAGUACAACAUUUAGAUAAGUUGAUCCGUGUGAUUGUGCCCAGUCGGCCCGCGUUGUAACUCUUAAUACAAAGAUACACAGCUCUCCUAUGUAUCCUCGAAAAAAAAAGAAGCUAUGCACUCUGACAUAGGAAUGCUACGCUAUGCAGUCUGACAGAGGAAUGCUAUGUUCACAGCCAGGUGAAGAAUCUCUACUUUCUGAUCUACAUAGGCAUGGAGGAGUACCGCACAACUACACAAUCAUGCCAGGUUCAGGCCAAUCUCAGCUUGUGGAGCAAAAGAAAUAUCGGCAGUUUUUUGGCAGCACAAAUUUGAUCUCAUAGUGUUCAGAAAAAGAAUACGUGAUACACGCGAACGUGCCAGAUGUCUCAAAGUUGGUACGGACAUAAAGCUAUUCAUAGCCAAGCAGGAAACCUUCCCUAUCAAAGAGAUUCUAACUGCCAAUCCAGGAAAAGUUUGAGCAACGAUAAUGGUUGGACAUACUACCAGAAACAUGCAUAUUGUUGGAGAUGCAAAGAAGCACAAUGGUUGGUUUAAGUAUCUGAACCCACAAAUAUGUCGCACGGGCAUGACAGCUUUUUGUUGCAACACUCUUAUCCUGAGUCGUUUCAGAUGUUCAAUUGUGGAUUCAUUCUGAAAGUGGAGAGUUGCGCGAUCAGGCCAGCUUCGAGAUAGCUCCAACAUGUGCAACGAAGUAAAUACCAACUGGUAUACUGUAGAGGCAGCGAACAAGAAAUUUCACUGUAUUCAGAAACCCAAUAGCCUGAUGUGCCUGUGAUACAUCAGCACUCAGGACAAUAAGCAGAUUUGUCAAAGUUGAUUCUAUCAGGAUAUGCUUGUGGUGGAAAUGUAACUGAUAAAUCUGUAAGUACUUCAGAUUGAGGAACUUGUCAGCUGCCAUAGGUGUAUUAAACGUAGACUAUUUACAAAACCCAUUACAUAAGUGGAGGCUAAACAACAAGACGAAUCUAUUAAGCCUAAUUAAUCCAUCAUUAGCAAAUGUUUACUGUAGCAACACAUUGUCAAAUUAUGGACUAAUUAGGCUUAAUAGAUUCGUAUCGUCGUUUAGCCUCCACUUAUGUAAUGGGUUUUGUAAAUAGUCUACGUUUAAUACUCCUAAUUAGUAUCUAAACAUUCGAUGUGACAGGUGCUAAGUCAGUGGAAGCAAACGGGUAUAUUCCAGGGCAUGACUACUGUUACAUCAUAACAAUGGUCCAGUGAGAGUGAAGGCAUAAGAUUCUGUAAAACAUGGCAUCUAGGUGUAUAUUUCUACUCGAUUCAUGGAAUAGCACAAAAUCUCACUUCAUUUAGCUAUUGUGGAUGCAAAUUUGUAGCCCUGAAUGUCGCCGCAAUAAACACCAUGUAAGUUCGCUACACUAACAGGCCACAGCUUAAGAGAAAUGAUUUCUUUCAUGCCUAAAACAAGGCAUGAAACGUGGAGAUGACCAGCAGGCAGCACUGCAGCAGCGAUUCUAGCACAGAAUACAAUACUGACCAACAAGGCAUGUAUAUUGGCGUGCAUUCAGUGGAAGAGAAGAACAGCACAGUAUGUCAAAUCUAAAACAAAUGCAGUAACAGCAGGUGCAGAAGCAAUGGAACUGGAAGAGCAACAGAAUCUUCAGACAUCAGAAUUUCCAUUCGAAUCUAAAACAGAGGGCAAUAUCAGCAGGCAGGUGAGGCUAUUGAGAAACCAAACACAAAACAAGGAGCAAGAUUCAGAUAUACCUGCGGAGGGUUAGUAUUAAUUAAUUUUGAAGUCUCCGCAGCAGUACUGAAACAAUCCUCUGAGAAGGGGGUUCACAAACCAAAUUCAAAUCAUGCAGGGAGGAGAUCAACAGUGCAUGCAAUCGCAGAGAAAUCAGAUGCAGAACCAAGGGGAAAAGAGGUAAGUCAAUUCACCAGAUUAUGAUUUCACAGAAGAUCAGGCACAAAUUCAAUUCCACUGUUGCAUUAACAUCUAUGGGGACAUCAUUUGACCACAGUAGGACACGUUUGACACCUGGGAACAUCCUCUCCCUGCAUUACCUUUUGUUAUCUUCUAGAAGUAUUGACAGACAAAAACACCUCUCUACAUCAUUAUGGUAACUAUUCUCAACCCAACACAACCCUUUCUAAGCGAAGUAUCGACAGGUCUAAGACCACAACCCUUACCAAGCAUGUAAUCCCCCACCCCCUCAACAGAACAGCCCCUACUCCUCUAGUUUAUGUCGAUGUCGAGAGGUGUCUCCUGAUUGUAGGUGUCCGCGCAGUACUUCCUCGCGUUGCACAGCUUGAAGUGGUUCUGGCUGCGGAACUUGUUCGCUGCCUUGACCAGCUCCUCGCCGAGCAGUUUCGUGGCCUCGAGCUGGCUCCCCAUGAGAUCGUCCCUAAAACCCUCCAGCUUGUUGGUGAGGUGGCGUAUCUUGGCGUCGCGGGUGUUGUUGGAGAACUCGAGGACAAUGAUCGUCGCCAUGAUCAAGCUGCUCUGCAAUAUGAAGGAGACGAAGAACUGGACCAUCAGCGCUAAAGCUCUUGAUCCCCAUUGCCACCACGGUGCAGAAGCGAGCAUGAUCGUCUGCGAACUCAUCCCCUUCUACAACCCCGAGACCGACAUCGGGCUUCAGACGAUCAUGCUCGCCUUCGGCACCGUAGCAGCGAUGGGGAUCAGGAGCGUCCCCUGUUCCGGGAGCAGAGGAAGUUACACCUCCGCCUUCCCCAGCGGGAGGAUCCCCUAUUCCGGGAGCAGGGAAAGAAGCAGGCGGAGGAGAUAGGCAGGCGGGAGGAGACGGCACACCGGCUACACUGGCCGAGGGGGUGCAGUACGUCACGCCGCCGCCUGUGAUCUCGCCGCACCUCGAUGCCAGCUAUGAUGGGGAACCCCUCCGAUUCUGGUCGCUGGAAGAUUACAUCGGCGGCACGGAAGCUCCAGGUUUGGCGGCGCGCGAGCUGGGAGAACAUCAGCUGCACCUGGGCAGCGCAGAAGAGCCACCCACGUUCAAGGAGGCAGAACAAGACCGACGGUGGCGGCGGGCGAUGACUGAGGAGAUGGCCUCCAUCGAGGAGAACCAGACUUGGACACUCGUUGAUCCGCCGGCAAAUUUCCAGCCGAUUGGACUGAAAUGGGUGUUCAAGGUCAAGCACGACGAGCAAGGCAAUGUCGUGAGGCACAAGGCACGGCUGGUGGCCAAAGGAUUCGUGCAGCGCGAGGGAAUCAACUUCGAGGAAGUGUUUGCCCCGGUGGCGCGCAUGGAAUCCGCGCGCCUGUUGUUGGCUCUAGUGGCGACGCGGAACUGGGAGGUCCAUCACAUGGACGUGAAAUCCGUGUUCCUCAACGGCGAGGUACCGCGGGCCUGGAACAUCAAGCUGGACAGGCUCCGCAGGCCUGGAACAUCAAGCUGGACGAAUGAGCCAUUUCUGUCAAGUUCUGCACAAGAUGGGCUCACUUAAGCAGCAAAUGGGCAUGGUGGAUUGAUCUGAGUUCAAUAGCUGCCCAACGAGCUGCAAUUGAAUGAGAAGCUCUAAAUGAUUCUCUCAAAAUUCUGGCUGUAAACAUAUAUAGCUAAUGUUUCUAUUAGGGUGCGAUGUUUUGUAAAUUAUUGUACAGUAGUCGAACCAAUGUUAUCGCUCAUAUAUAUAUAUAUGCCCGGUCAAUAUAGGUUAUAUUAUGUACUACCAUGUGGUAGAUCCAAGGGCAUUUGAUUAAACAAAUUAAGCACCAUUUUUUACAGUAAGUGGAUUACGCCAUUGUGGUACAUGGUAAAAUGGUACUGUGAUAACUCCAUGACGUCACUAUGGUAAUUACAUGAUCUUUAUUUGGUAUGCACUACUAAUGCACAUUUCCUAAUUCUUCACAAGUAUGGAUCAUGCAAGCACAUUGCUCAGUGUAUUUACCUAAAUAAGCAGUAUUGUAACUAUUUCAUAGUAAUUUGGUCACAGCAUUAUAGUACCAGGUCCUUAGACGUGAUUACUGUCAAACUGUGGUAAGUUGGUAACUCGUCUUCCUAACUUUCAUUGUAUAUUGGUCCCAAAUUAUACUAACCAGGUCCUUGUAAUUACUUGCCGCCUAACUGUUGUAACUCCCGGCGUUGAUUACGUCCGGCUCCCGGCGUUGAUUAGGGGACAUGCUCACGCCUGGAAGCCAGAAUCCCAGACGCACCGCGCGGGUUGGAUCGAUAUCACGCUGGGUACGUGCGGUUGGAUCACGUGGACACAAAAUAACUUAUUCUAUAGCUGGCUACAAAGUAUCCUUUCCCUAAACAAUUAAAAGUUAUGACAACCUAUGCAAUGAUGCAUAGUUAUUUAUUGGACUCGACCCUCACACACAUGCAGCUAAAGAAAGCACUCAGAUUAGCCUAAAACUUAAUAGUUAUGCAACACUGCAGAAUGGUCAAAUAUUGGAAAGUCAAGGUAACUUAACAUCUAUAGCAUGGCACCGACUGCAAGGCUCCCAAACAUUUAACUUAAUUGCAGGAGGUACUCUUCCCACGAUGAAGCUACUGACAGCCCUGAGUGCAUUAUGUGCUUCCAAGAUCAUAUCCCUGGGAAUGGAACGGCAUUUACUUUUCUUUUGGAGAAAACACCUACGAACAUCAUCACCGAUGAACCCAGCAAAUAUGGUGUCCACUGUAAGACUUUCAAGGGAUGUUGCAUUCUCGAGAAUAUGACAAGUUAGCUCAACCAUGCUUUUUGCUGAGCAGAAGCCAUUGAUCUGCACCUUCCUGAGCCUAUCAUGUUUGUGCCCAAGAAUCUGCCUCAUAGGCGAGGCAUUCCCGAAAACAGAAUCAUGCUUCAUAACAUCCUGAUUUACCUGCGCAGGAUCAAAUUAAAGGUCCCUAAAAUCUAACCACAGAUAUUGCAAGAUAAACACUUCUUUUCUGAAUAGAAUUGCAGGAUGAAAAGCAACUUACACUCAAGAUGAAAGUCUCCAAGGCAGGUGAAGCAUCCAGAAACGAAACCAAAGACAAAUAGUCAUAGGAUGGGGAAAAUGCCUCAUAACCAGCAAGAUAAAUCUGUAAGCACUUCAGAUUGAGGAACUUGUCAGCUGCCAUAGGUGUAUUAACCCUCUGCAUAAAGAUAUCAUGUUAAUUAUAUUCCAGGGCAUGACAACUGUUACAUCAUAACAAUGGUACGGUAACCUGAAGUUUCAGAGGAUACCUCACUAAAUGAAGUUAAUUUAAGAGUUUCAAGAGUUGGCACAGUGGAAGGAAGCUUAGUAAUAGCAUAAGUGAUAGAGUUGAAAUUAUUUGAAAGCCUAAAAUCUAGGCUCUUCACUUGCGAUGAUUCUCCAAGUGUGAGGUGUCCUGGGUUACCGAAGAAUUUAAAAGUGUGAAGGUUUGGAGCUUUGCUCUCAAUCACUUGGAGCAUGUUGCAUUCAAACACACGAAGGAAGCUGAGUCGCUCCAGCCAGAAUGGUAUCUUCAGGGAGAUUAGAUCACUGCAAGAGAUGAGUUCCAAAUGCUCCAAAGCGAAAGAAUUGGAGAAAAGAUUCCCCAACUCAUCCCCUGUGAUACACACUUCAUAUAGAUGCACCUUUGUCAGACUUCUCAAGCAAUCAAAUCCAACCGGGGGACGGAAGGCACAGUUGGUGAGGCGGAGAUGUCGAAUUGAGUUUCCACACCCACCAAAUAAAAGUGAGCACGGGAAGCUGUACUUUGUCUUGUAAUUACUAUGCAGAAAAAUUGUGACUUCUUCAAUCCCAGGUGCAAUAGCAAUCUGAAGCCAAUGAUUAAGACGACAAAUGUCAAUCUUGCAAGAAUCAGGGAUGUCAAGAAUGAGUGUCUUCACACCAAUGCCUGAGUGAUUUUUUAGAAUUUGGUCAACUCUCAUGGUGAAACACCUUGCUACACCACCCUUUCCACAUGCAUUUCGUUUCACGCAUAGUGUUUCCUUAGUGAAAUUUAGAUUGGGGUGGCAUCUCCAAGAACGUAAAAACGUACGAGAUACACAAGCAGAAUGGGCAGCAUCUCGCAGUGGCAUUAGGGAAUGUAUAUGGCACCAGAUAUCCUGCAAAAGAAUGAAAAAAAACUUCAACAUUGGAACUGUAAAGGCAAAUAAUUUCUUCAGAUUUUUUUAAAGCAAUGGGAUUUCGUGGAGUAAAAUUCUAUCACAGGUGAUCUCUUCAUGUUUGUACAAAUGUGCAGUGAUACGGAGGGCACGUUUGGAUGGUUGCCAAUCUUAGCCUUACCAAAUUUUUGGUUAGCCCACACAAUUUGGCAAUUGUUUGGAUCACUGCCAAAAAUUGGCGUGCCAACCUGCUUGACAAUUUAAAUACCUAGAUUGACAAUUUAAAACAGAUGUGACUAGAUUCACCAUGUAAGGUACUUUCUAAAGAAAUUAUCGGUCAAAGCUUCAUCUUACAAACCGUGUCAAUGUCCUAAACGACAUGUUGUAUUUAAAUCAGAGGGAAUAUUAAUUCCAAAGUAUCAAUGAAUAUUUAAACAGCCUAGCAAGUUUUGACAGCUACAAAACAAGAUACAUGUUACAGGCCUUCUCAACUACACAGCAGACCAGUACAAGGAUGUGCAGUUCAAUAGGAUAUCUGUACUAGAUGAAUGAAGGAUCGUAGUGAAAUCAAACCUGUGCACGGAAAUAUAGAGACUUGUAGAAACUUGGUUGCAGCAUAGCAUUGAAACAAUGUAGUAAAGUGUCUCACUUAUGCUCUAGUUCGCAAGUGAUCAUCUUUCUUUUUAUCCAAGCAUACAGCCAUGGUUAGUCCUACUUUCUACCAAGAGCAAGUGGAAGGUUUCAUAUUGAAAUGAACCCAGGAAUUCAGAAUGGAGAACCACAAAGCAAAGCCCUGACACUUCGUCUUAAAGUGAUAUCAUGAAACAAAAACUGCUAAAGUGCUACAAGCUAGCUUUUAACGACUCAUGUCAAUCUGCUAGCAACUAAUGACUAUCUUUUUAAUGCUACAGAAGAUGGUAACCAGGCUACAGAAGGAUGUCAUUUGGUUAUGUGUUUCCAUCUUUUCCAUAGGGGAAAGUAAACCAAAGGUGCACAGGCUUCUGAAAGCUGAAUAUUUUAAAUAAACACUUUUGUUAUGGUUGCCGUGUAUGUAACUAAACUCACCUAAGUAUUGAGGAAGCUAGACUUUAGCCCUCAGUGUCACAAUAAUGAAGAAGUAAAUACUAGAUCUCUUUCACAAACUUUUAUGUAGCUAGCAUAGGUCCAUCAAUUUGAUAAGUUCGAGAAAGCAUACUGAUGUUUUAGUUUUGAUAUAAGCUUUCCAUAACCAACAUUCAUGCCGUACCUCAGGAAGGCCUGACCCUGAAUAUCUUGAAAUUUUACCACCCUCAGAACGAUCAUCUUCUUGACAGAGCAAGUCCUUUUUCUUGGGCAUUUCAGUAGAAUUUUGAUCUGCAGCAUAUCAUGCAUGUUACUGAGCAGAUAUAAUAUCAAUAUUAACAGAAGAAAACAACCAAGUCAAUCAUAUAACAUGUGCAUAACAAUGCAACCUUUUCUACUGUUCAACUUUUGCGAGAAUACCAAAUUAUUUACUAUGGAACUUAUUACACCAAAGCAUAUAAAAGGCAACUUGUUUCAAUUCAAGGAAAAUGCUAGAAUGGACCCAUGAAAACUUGCAAUAAGCCCUCUUCAAAAAUAUUGCCAUCUCCCCAAGCACAUGAUGGAGAGGCCUGCCAGCCAAUGCGAGUCAAUAUCCUUUCCCAAGCAUCUUCUCCCUGUGAAGGCUCACAUGAAUCUCAAAAUCUCACACUAGCUGAACAAGGCUUCACAGCUAACUUGACAAUGUAGCACAAGUCUCAAAUCAUGUCUUUUUACCUCUUGUCAUGUCAUGUUUAUGGAUACCACUAACCAUGAUAAAUAUUUCUUUUUUACCUCUUGAAUUCUCCAAAUUAUUCUUGGACUCCAUAAAAACGGAUGGCUGGAGAUGAAUUAGGGCUGUUUGACCCUACUAAACAAUUUUUGUGCGUGUGUGAUUUGGCAUCCACAACAUUAAGAUUCAUGGUUGAAUAAACAUUGGACAGCCAGCUUAGAUAAAAUGGUUAUGACAAAAAAAAAAACUUAUGCAACACUGCACAGUUAAAUACUGGACGCUACCUAAACAAUGAAGAGUACAACAGCGUAUGCAUUGCACACUUAAGUAUUGGAUAACCGCACAUCUAUAGCGUGACACCGGCUACAAGGCUCCCCAACAUUCAACUUAACUGAAGAGGGGACUCUUCCCACGAUGUAUCUUUUGAUAACGCCGAGUGCUUUAUGUGCUUCCAAGAUUAAAUCCCUGCGUAUGGUCCUGCAUUCACCCGUUUUUUUUCAACACAGCACCUACUAGUGUUACCAUCCUCCUUCGGAUUAUACAUGGUGUCGACUGUAGGACUUCCAAGUGAUAUUGCAAUCUCCCCAAAUUACAUGAUGGAGGAGCUCAUCAGUUAGUGGAAUUAAGAUCUUUCCCUACCACUUUCGUCCUCCUACCUCUGAGGCUUACCUCGGAUCCCACAUCAACUAAACAACCCUGCUACCUUUACAUGGUGGCAAAUGGCACCUUCAGCCGCUUCUCAAAUCAUGUCAUAUUCACUAGAGUGUUUGAGUUGGUACUGUUGGUUCUUCUCAAACCAUUAUGUGCAAUUAUCAUUACUUGCUCAGUAAAUAUUUUUACCUCUCAAAAUCUCCAGCCAAAGUAUUAUUUCGUAAUGAGCAAAUCCACAUUUGAACAAAAAAUGAGUAUGGUCGAACAUUCUAAGGCUUGAAGCCCUGCUCCUAUGAAACAGGAAAAAAGAGCAAUCUUGGUCAAUUUACGGUCAAACAAACACUCGGAAGACUGCCUGCAACAAUCCAAAUGUACCAGUUUGCUCCUUCAUCAAAAAGGAGAUAUUUUUUUUGGGUUAAUUGGAUGUGUGCCAUUAUAACUUUUAAAUUUUUGAGCCACACCACGACUGUUUGAGUUAUAGAAUGCAGGCCAUUACAAUUUUAAAGUUGUUUAAGAUAUGCCAUUUUCUACGUCUUUAACAUCAUUGGGCCCACGUGCUGGUCACUGUAUUUUCGUAUGGACUAAAAAGCCCUGGUAUAACACCUCCCUCAACCUCACUGACGCAUCGGUCCCACACCCGUCAUCCCCUUCCUCCCGAUUCAUCUUCUGGUCACCCCCUUCCUCUCCGAUUCAUCUUCUGGUCACCGGAUCCAAUCGAAAGAACAGAAGCAAUCGAUUCUUAGGAACCAAACUCGGAUAAAAAACGAAUCAAUUUUCACUUGCAAAAGGAUCCGUUCUUUGGUUCUCAGUUUGUUCGCAAAAUAUUGGGUACAGAGAGGAUCAGAGGAAGGAGACCGUGGGCACGAGCUGGAUCCGCGAGGGAGGAGCAGUGGGAGAGAGGCAGUGACCUCCGGGCCUCCGCAACGCCGCUACCGCAGCAAGUUUGGCGCAGUCGCGAGCGCUUGGUGGAUCUGGGAGCUUGACGGUGCCACCAUCCUAUAACUCAAAUAGUAGUGGUAUGGCUCAAAAACUUGAAAGUUAUAAUGGCACAUAUCCAAUUAACCUUUUUUUUUUCUUCUUCAAAAAAGAACGUUAAGUAAACACCAAAACAAGCAGAGACCAUAAAAAGUUAAUCUUUUUUAUGAAGAAACAUAAAGGUAGCAAUAGAGGCUCGUCCCAUAGGGCCAUGGACCAAAAUUACGCAGAACAGGUAACAUAUGUCAAUUGAGGUCAUGAACACAAGCAAAGACGAAUAACAGAGAGGUCGAGCGGACCAAGAGGUGGCUUACUGCGGGCUUGGAUUCACCAGCAACGCCUCCGCUUCUGCUUGAGCAUGAGGCGAUUUAGCGACAGCAUCCCUAUGGCACCUGGUAUCGAGAGCACAAAGGCGGCGGGCAGUCGGGCGACCUCUCUCCUCCCUACCGUCUCUGCGUGCGCAAGAGUUCGCGUGGUCCACUGCUUGUAUCUCCUCUAAUCUAUCUGUCCCGGUUUCGAUUCGAAACCAAAACAGCGGAAGAGGGCGCAAGAGGAAGAAAUCGAGUUGGCGUUGCUGGGGGCGGGGAGGGGAAGAGCGGGGCUCCCUUUUUUUUUCCUUUGGGGAGAGAGAUACGGGACAGAACGGGAUCACGGGAGCAAGAGCAACUCAAAAGCUCCCUUCAAAUUGCCCAAAAUCUUAUUUAGAAAAAAUAAAAAAAAAUUACUUCCAACAACUCCCCCUACUUCCGAUAAAAAGCAGCGACUGGUCCUUUCCCGAUCCCAGAAUUUCCUCAGCGCUGGCUGAUACCCCAGCGCGUGGCUCCUAGCGGUGCCGCCUCCCUACGGUUGCCGCUGCUCCACACGCGGCGCCGCCCGCGCCCUAGCCUUCUCAGCGGCCGCUGCUUCCUCCUCCUGCUGCCGCUUCUGCUCGUGCAGCUCCUGUGACCGUGACACCUCGAUCUUGAUCACCACUUCCUACUGGCGCCCUAGCCUUCUCAGCGGCCGCUGCUUCCUCCUCCUGCUGCCGCUUCUGCUCGUGCAGCUCCUGUGACCGUGACACCUCGAUCUUGAUCACCACUUCCUACUGGCGCCCUAGCCUUCUCAGCGGCCGCUGCUUCCUCCUCCUGCUGCCGCUUCUGCUCGUGCAGCUCCUGUGACCGUGACACCUCGAUCUUGAUCACCACUUCCUACUGUUGAUGCUACCUUUGCUCGCGGAGGCCCUGCAUCUCCUCAACCUUGAACGGUGCCGACUCGCAGCCCCCGGCGAGUCCUGGUCGGCCGGCGGCGACGGCUUCGGGGAGCUCUCGCCGGAGUCUGGCAUUAGAACAACUUCCACAGGGUGAUCCUGAUUGCGCGGCGUCUCUUCCCCCUCCUCCCAUUUCUUCUCUUUUUACCUGCUGAAGGAAGAAAAGAAAGAAUCAGGGAGACAGCAGGGAGGCGUCGGGCCGAGCCCAAUUACGAUGAUGUGGUCUGUUUUGAAAUAUUGACGUAUAUUUUUUCAAAAAAAAAUUUCCCCAAAACACACAUCAACCCACAGACUAAUAAUUAGCUCAUAAUAUUUCAAAACAGACCAUAUCAUCAUAAUUGAAUCCAUCUCACUGGGCUGCCCACCUUCUCCCCUCACGAUCACCUCCCUCUCUCGCGAUCUACAGCGCCGUCGCCGCCAGAAACUCCAGUCGCCCCUCCCAGCGGCUCACUGAGGCUUUUGCCGCCCGACCCAUCCCUACGAUCUCCAACGCCAAUUGGAGAUAGGUAAAACGGAGCUGGGUUGGAGAAGGCCUGCUGAAUACUGAAUGAGAAAAAGAAACAAUCUUGCGAUCCACCAAAAUAAGGCUAGCUAUACGGUCAAACAAGCAUUGGCCACACUGCCGAGAUUUGACUGUUCUAAAAAAAGAGUGGAGAUUUGACUUACUACGGGCUUGCAUUUGGCGACGACGACGCUGUUGCUGCGUGUUCAUGAGCAGAUUGAACUUUAGAAUCCCCAUGGCGCGAGGACGCCUCGAAUCGAUCCGGGAAUUCAAAGGCGGUCGCCAAUGUUUCUCCGGCCUCUCUUCCUCAGUCGAGCUCUCUAUUUAAGAGGGAACAAGGCGCGUCGGGAGAAAAGAAAUCGCGUCGGAGCCGCCGGCCGGGGUCUUCCGCGAGAGGGAGAGAUCCGACUGGAACCAGAGCUCUGGAACUGAUGGAACGCGCCGUCGAAGUAGGAACGCAAAUCCGGCAAAUCCGGGAGUAAAGCUGCUGCGUGGGCUGAAAUCGGAAGGCUACCUUUGCGGGCUUGGAGUACGGACUUUUCUACUCAAACUUCCGUUGUUUAUGGGAUUUUCUACUUUGGGCUGUUUGACAGACUAUCACUUCCUACCAGGAGUCACGACCAGUGAACUGAAAGCAAGCUAACAGGACUAUCUUUUUGACUACGGAGCGCUAAACUAAACUAAUCUUAAAAGUUCAAAUCAACUGGCACCCAUACAACGUACUAACUACUAAGCACCGGGAAACUGUGUUAACUAAGAAACAGAGAACAGAGAACAGGACAUGUGUUGAAGUGUAAUAUAUCACAUGAUCAAAAUAAUCCAGAGUGAUGGCAACAUAUCGCCUCAAAGAGAACAAAACAUCAACAUUGCAAGUUAGUGAACAUGACCUAAACGAUGAACAGUUUAUGCUUCACUAUAUGCAUCGUUCAUAGUUAAAUUUUGGAUAAAUUACAGUGACUUGACAUCUAUAGCAUGGCAUCGGAUACAAGGCGCCCGAACAUUUAACUUGACCGUAGAGGGAACUCUUUCCACGAUGUAUCUUUCGAUGACCUUGAGUGCUUUAUGUGCUUCCACUAUCAUCUGCGCGCUUUUGGAAAUGCAUUUGCUAGUUUUCCGGCCAGAGCACCUAACGAUGUCGUCAGCAUCCUUCCCCUGACUAAAUAUGCUAUCCAGCGUAAGACUUUCAAGUGCUGUUGAAUUCUCGAGAAUAUGACAUGCUAGCUCAACCAUGCUCUUUGCAGAGCAGAACCCGUUGAUCUGCACCUUCUUGAGCCUGCCAUGCUUGUGUUCAGGAAUCUGCCUCAGAUGUGACGAGGCAUCCCCAAAAACCGAUUCAUGAUGCAUGUCAUGGUGAUCUACCUGCAUAGCAUCAGUAUUAAUUAAUGUCACUGGAAAUUGAAUGGUUCCACGACAGAUAUACUAAAUAUCUUUGCAAGAUGAACUAGUACUCACGCUCAAGAUGAAAGUCUCCAAGACAGGAGAAGCAUCCAGAAACGAAACCAAGGACAGAUAACCAUAGGCUCGGAAAGUAGUCUCAUCAUCAUCAUCAUCAUCAUCAUCAUCAUCAUCAUCAUCAUCAUCAUCAUCAUCAUCAUCAUCAGUAAGGUCAAUAUUCAAGUAAUUGAGGUGGAGGAAUUGGUUAGCAACCAUUGGUGCAUUAACCCUCUGCACAAAGAUUUCCCUUAAUUAUAUUGCAAAAAGAGCAUGAUACAGUUACAUGUCAUAACACUGCUAUCAAAUAAUGUUCAGAUUAUACCUCACUGCCAGAAUAUAUGGUAAGAGUUUCAAGAUGUGGCACAAUCAAAGGAAGCUUGGUAAUAGCAUAUAACUGAUAGAAUUGAGCUCAGAUGAAAAACCCAGAUUUAGGUUCUUCACUGGUGAUGAUUCUCCAAGUAAGAGUUGUACUCGCUAACCACACAACUCAAAAGUGGAGAGGUUAGGAGCUGUACUCUCGAUCACUCGUAGCUUGUUGCACGAAGACCAUUCAGCCAGCUGAGCCGAUCUAGCCAGAAUGAUAUCUUUAGGCAGACUAGCUCAUUGCAACAUCUGAGUUCCAACUGCUCCAAACAAAAGGACCUGGAAAUAAGACACUCUAAUUCAUCCCCCGUGAUACGCACUCCAUUCAGAUACAGCUUUGUCAGGCUCCUCAAGCAAUCAAAUCCAACCGGGGGGGGGCGGAAGGCACAAUUGCUUAGGUGAACAUACCGAAUGGAGUUUCCACAGCCAUCAAGUAAAAGUGAGCAAGGGAAGUUGUACUCUGCCCCAUAUAUUGCAGACAGGGAAAGGCUGACUUCUUCAAUCCUCGGUGAAAUAGCACUCCGUAGCCAAAUAUUAACAUGGCAUGAGUGAUGACCAUCGAUUACAAUCUUCAGUGACUUCACACCAACUCCUGAGUGAUUUUUCAGAAUGUGGUCGACUCUCCAAGUGAAACCCUUUGUUCUAUAACUUUUUCGACAUGUGUUUUCUUUCAAGCCAAGUGUUUCUGCAGUGAAGGUGAGCUUGGGGUGGUAUCUCCAAGAACACAAAAAUGUGCGUGAUACACAGGCAGAACGGGCAGAAUCACGCAGUGGUAUUAGGGAGUGUAUAAGGUACCAGAUAUCCUGUACAAGCAUGGAAAGAAUAGUUUAACACUGGAUUGUAAAGGCAACCAGUUUUUUAUAAAAAAAAAUGUUGGGACCAUACAGAGAAAAAUCAUAUCCCAUGUGACCUGUUCAUGCUUGUACGAGAUGUGACGCACACUGAGGAAUAUAAGAGCACUGAAAUGUAAUCCUGGUAGCUUAAGUUAAGCUUCUGCAGAGAAGUUCCUUUUCUAUGUUAAGUUAAACAGUACUUCCUAGUAUGAAGUAUAUAGGUGUAUUAGGAAGUAUUUAUUCUUUCCAUGUACACUUGAUGUAUUUCUUUUACUCCAAGCCAUGUUGGCUAUAUAUAUAGAGGUCACCCCCUCAUUAGAGUAUGUGGUAUUUUCCAAUCUACUUCUCUACAUGGUAUCACGAGAUUAGAUCGUGAGCCUCUCCUCCUCUCCCUCGCGCCUCCCUCGUGAAGCCCUCCUGGCAGUGCCCCUUCUACCGCGCCGCAGCCACCCUCUCCGCUGCACCUCAUGCUGCGCGUGCCCACCCCCCUACCGCGCGCCAUGGCCACCCACUCCACCGACGAUUCCUCCCUGUCCGGCGGUGACCCCCUGACCUCCGGCAACGCCACCACCCCUCCUGGUGGCUCUGGCGCCCCUGUGCCGCCUCCUAGCCCGCCUCCUGGCACCGGCGGUGGUGUUCCUAUACCGCCACCUGGUCCACCUCCUGGCGCCGGCAUGGUAAUUUGCCUUGAUGCUCGUAUGAUAGCAAUGGGCAGUAAUUAGACAUGAGCAAAGUGUGGAUCGACUGGGUCAGCAAAAAGCCCAGUUCGGGCUCACGAACAGCUUUCGGGAAAGUCUUUUCAGGCUUUUUUCUUUGGCCACGAACAGCUUUCGGGAAAAGCCUUUUUAAGCAUUUUUUGAGCCCAUGAGCAUUUUUUUCAGGCCACCCAAUCUUUUUAGUUGAAAAAUAAAUAAAAAACAAUUAGCAGGAAAAUGGCCACCCUGGCCCUAUAAAAAAAUGCAAGUCGAGCUUAGCCCCGCAGGCUCGAGUAGGGCCGUCGGGCUGGAUCGAGCCAAGUUGCUCAUGUCUAGACCUGAGCAAAUUUGGUCCAAUCCAGCCCAACAGCCUGAGUCAAAGCCUAGCGGGCUAAGCCCGACCCGUGGCCUUUGUAGGGCCGGAUGCGGUGCACAUUUUGCCUGCUCGAAAAAAUUCCGGACGGGCUAAGCCCGACCCAAGUAUUUUUUUUAUCUUCCAACUAAAAAUGACCGGACGGCCUGGCCAGAGGCCUGCCCGAAAAAGCUCGAAAAGUCCGACUCAAAAGUUGUUCGUGGGCGAGCUGGUCACGUUUUUCGACCGGAAUUAUUUUGGGCUUUUUGCCCUCAUGUCUAUUUUUUUUUGAAACUUGGGUCUCCUCAUGUUUAGCAGUAAUAGAGGAGCCGUCCUCUCCCUCUCACAUACUCCGUCCAAACACCACCCCAACGAAAAAGACCCACCUUUCCGUUCCCCGUCCCGGCGGCGCCAGUUCGAAUACUCGAUUUCUUCCUUGCGCCUUCUCCUAUCGUUUCGGGCUCAGUUCGAAAUUGAGAACACGACCACGUCGCGGAUUUAAAAGAUCUAGAGACAUAGGGCGGGACAGAUAGGACACUCACACACACAGAGUGACAGAGAUAGUAGGGAGAUCAGAGGUCGGCCGCCUGCCCGCCAGCCUUUGCGACCUGGAUACUUGUAUUAUGGGGAUUGUAUUAUGGGGAUUGGUGUUCAAGCAGAAGCGGAGGCGUCGCCGAUGAAUCCAAGUCCGCAGUCCUCUUAGUCCCCCUCAACCCCUGUGUUAUUCAUCUCUUCUACUUGCUCAGGGCCUGAAUUGAAAUCUGUGCUGGUGUGCCCUAUUGACGAGCCUCUAUUGCUUUUUGUACGUCCUCUUCACUUAUAGGAUUAGUUUUUAAUGGUAUAUCCUGGUAAUGGUUCAGGUUGACUCAUUGUUUUCCGUGAAAAAAAAAUCUCUCCUUCUUGAGGGAGGAGUAAAUUGCUUCAAUCUGAUUGAUCUAAGCCGGCCAUCCACUGUUUGUUUAACAAUGAGAUCUUACUUGGUGGAAGCCGAAUCACCAAGAUUGCUCCUUUUUUCCCCUUCUGUUUUGUGCGUAAUAGUAAUAGGGCUUCAACUGAACCCAAUUUUGUUCACAUGUUGAUUUGCUCAUAUAAGAAUCAUUUGAGGGCAGAUUUCAACAGAUAAAAAGAUUUAAUGAUCAAGUAAGAUACUCGUGUAUAAUGGUCCGAGAAGACCCAGUGGUUCCCACCCAAACAUGCGAACAUGACUUGAUUUGAGAAGCGGCUGAGGCGCCAUGUGCUACCACUUUUACUCCUCAUCAAUCGAUUGAGAUCUUUCUUAUGUAUCGGUCACCUAAAUUUGUACUAGAAAUUGAAUGGAGAUGGGAUUCGGGGUUAGGUUUUGGGGGUUUGGGGGCUUACUCAAGUGCCCGACUCUAGAGGAAGUUCUUGGGUGGCUUGUCGGCUAGAGGUGGAGGCGGUAUAGACUGCGGGAAGCGGAGGCGGCGAAGGCGCCGCUGGAGCGGGGCGGUGGGGACCCCUGGUGAGCAAUGGAGGUGGUGGGGGCGUCGAGGGCCAACGAGUUAGCGGCGGCAGCAGUCGUGGGCGGGGUGGAGGUUCGCCGCCUGAGCCGACAGGGAGGCGGAGGUUGCGGGGGAGCCAAACGGCUGCCUUGGGGCUUCAGGAGGAACGGAGAAGAUAAGAAGAGGCUUAGGGUGCGUUUGGCUUGGAGACAAGGUGGGACGGGAUCAUCCCAUCCCCGUUUUUUGGGAUGGGACGAUCCUAUUUUAUGUUUGGUUGAGAGGGAUGGGUCCGUCCCAGUUCUUUGUUUGGUACGGGGCAUCGAGGGAAUGGGAUGGAUGACGAUUUUAAUACCGUUAGCUAUAGUAAAUGGACCCUACCUGUCAUCUAAAAAGUGGACCCCACUUGUCAUUGUCUAUUCAAUAUUUUUCUUAUAUUUUUUCCUUGGCCUUAUCCUUCUUCUGGCCGCGCUGCCCCUGGGCCACGGCCACGGCCGCCGCCACCCCUGCUCCACCCCGCCUCCCCUAGACCACAACCGCGCCGCCGGGGAGCUUGAUCCGCCUCCCCAGGGCCACGGCCGCACCGCACCGGGGAGCUCCUCCGCGCCCCUCCGUUCCCGGUGGUAGCCCCUCCGCGCCCUUGGGCCACGGCCGUUGCCGCCCUUGCUCCACCCCGUCGCCGCCCGAGGUAGCCUCCUCCGCACCGGCGGACGCCCGUCCUCCGGCCGUGCCGCCCAAUGGCAUGAACCACGUGAACGGGGGAUGAUCCUGUCCGCCACUUUUGGUGGGGCGGGGAUGUUCCCGUCCCACAUGUUUCUCAACCAAACGUGGGACGAAGUGGGAUCGUCCCGUCCCAUCCCGUCCCAUCCCGUCCCACUUCGUCCCUGCAACCAAACGCACAGAGAGAGUCAGAGAGAACAUGAGGGAUAGCAUCUGGAUCGUUGGAUCUCGAUCCAACAUUCGAAAAUGGUGAUUGAUGGAAAAACACAAUUUCAAUCGGCUGAUGAGGAGAUAGGCUCUAAAGUAGAUGAACUCAAUGGGCUAGAGUACCCCCACCUUGCUUUACGAACCCUAGGAAACUUUGAGUAAGAUUGGCAUCCUCGGUAUGUGUACUAGAUUGCUUGGGUGCUAAAAGUGGAUAGGGAAAUAGCUCAGAUCGUAGACUAGAAAAAGGAGUGAAGUGUGGCAACCAUAGGUGGGCUUGGACAGGGGUAGAACUUAAAGAACGUAUGAGCUGAAUAACUUCUGCAUUAGUUUUUGUUUGUUUAAUCCGUGUACAAUCUCGCAACAAAUCCACAAUGGAGGCAACUAGAAACCUCGCUGACGGAUGCAGGAAAGAAGAGAAGACUAUAUACACAAUCAACAGAAAAAUGGCAAAGCCAACCGACCCAAGAGGAUCGCUGCAAAAGGAAUCAAUCCGAGGAUGCAAAUGCAACGGAUGGCCCGGCAGCGUGCUUUGGCAGCAGGCACCCAAGCGCUUCGAUCAGUAGGAGAUGUCGACGAGCGCGAUCAUGGCGUUCGCGACGAUAUCCUCGUGUGCCGCCCUCUGCAGCUCGUCGCGGAGCAAGGCGCGCCGCUGGCUCCGCGUCCGCGGCGGCGUCGGCGGCCGCCGCACGGCGCGGCGCGCACCGCUGGCGUAGGGCCGCAGCUCGGCGUCGUAGAAGGACGCGAGCUCCCGGAGCACGGCGCACGCCCGCGGCAGGUGGCGCGCGAGCGGCAGCGCGAGGUUGAACGGCCACAGCAGGAACGUGAACUGGAACGCCUGCAGGAACCCGCCCGCCACGGCCGGCACGGCGAGGAGCAACACGUGAACCGCCAUGGAUCACGAUCGGCCUCUCUCUUCUUCUUCUUUUUUUUUUCUGAGCUCUGUGAUCGACCGCUCCACUGCUGCUAGCUAGAUGGUGUUGUCUCUCUACCCCUGUGUGCUCUCCAUGGCUAUGUGCCCGAGGAGCUCGAGGCGCGCGUGUUGGUGGUUAGCAAGGACCUGGCAAGCCGGCCGUGAACGGAGAAGGGAUUGUAGAUACCUUGCUUUGUGGAGUGGACAUUGGCGAAGGGGUCUUAUAAUCGGAACCCGCCACUAUUGACUGUUUGGAGUCGCUGGUUUAACAGCUUCUUGUGUGAUCCGAUCCGCUAAUCCCUCUUGCCGAGCGAUGCUGUAGCGCACAGAUUUAAGUUGGAUUGGAUGGGCGGCGACAUUAUAUUGAUGCCAUUCCUUUGCUUACGUUUGUUUGUGUCCGGAGAUUCUCGCGAGGGACCAAACAUAAUGGCAUCGUCGUUUUCCUGGUGGGGAACAGGAGGAUUAUUCUUUGGCUUUGGACCUGCCGAUACGAUUGUUCUAGGGGAAGGCUCAAGUGUGUGGAGUAGAAGCCAUUUUUGCUCAAUGAUGGUUGUAAAAACACGUCUCUGUUUCGGUCACAAACAACUACAGCCAUCAUCAGUCUGCAACAACCAACAACUUCAGAUGUAUUUUGUAUGUGACACGUAUUGCUCAAAGUACUUCUACUGUUGCUCUGUUUGGAUUUGAACCUCCCCCUUGAAAAUCUGGAAAAGUCCAAACCGGACGAUUGGUUUACGCAUCUACGUACUACUGGCUUGUCGGCUUGCGGCAAUCAACACGGGCGGGGCCAGUGGUGACGCGUCCGUCCGGCCAAGGCCACCGACUACUUCUGGAACGGAGCAACAACCUCUGCCAGAAGAGAAAACAACGUUCCAUUCCAUUUCUGCAGAUGGGCAGCGCAACAUCGUUUUCAUACAGAACUACGUAGCCCAGACGAUGGAUCAGACAGCGGGGCCACUCCAAAACACAGCAGCACACCGCAAGUUUUCUUCUGUUCACGGGAAAAAAAAAUUGAUGGUGCCCGCAUAUAUCUAAAGUUGUAAACAACAAUGAUCAUGCAUGGUUCAGGAUAAGCAUAAUUUCACAUGGAUUCGUUUCAGAAAAUAAUUCCGCAUGGACCCCGUCCGGACAGCUGCAAGUAGCAGAUUCGUGACAGGUGCAGCAGGCUCGUCAGGAGCGGCUCUCUGGAUCAGAGAGAUAUUUGCAAGAAACUUGAGCCCCACAAAGAAGUUGGUGUUGGUGUUGGUGUUGGUGUUGGCAUCACCUCAAUAAAGUUUGGUUAGGAGCGCGAUCGGCGAGCAAUCAUCCGGGGCAGGCGCGCGGCACAUGGUCGUUUCUGCACAAUUUCUUGGCCUCCGUCGAUGGAGAUGGAUGGCUCGGCCUUUCCCGGUUCCAGGAGCCGCUUAUUUUGCGAUCGGGUCAGGUUGUAGCGUGCAAGUUUUUGUAUUCUCCCCGGUCACUGUAAGAUGGAUAAUCAUGUGAUAGAACAGAACUCCAGGAUAAAGAGCACGGCAGAGAGUGAUGGGAGAAUGGUGGAUGGACGUCGUGGAUACUUCAAUUUUAGGCUGGAUCGUGCGUGCUCGUGCGCCGCACGCGGUAGCUAGCUGAUCGAGCCUGAAACCGGCCGGCCGGACACCGCGAGACCAUCUUUCCUGUUGCUCUUCGUGUCGCCGCGCCGCCGCCCACCGCCGCCUGGGGUCCAGCCGGAGCGCACGGAUGCGGUAGCCUCUCCAAGGCCAACUGGCCAAGGAAACAGAUUGUGUACACGUUUCAUUUGGACGUAAGGCUAGGACGGGACGUGUGAUUGUUGUCGGAUCCUGAUGGGCGACAGCGACUGCGUCGAUACGAUCAUGGCGACGUGGCGUAUUGGCAUCACGUACAAGCAAGCAAAGCAUGCAUGCAGUAGGUGGCAAGGGCUAAUCGGCUGGUGUGCUGCUGCUGCUUGGGGACGCGACAGGGGUGUUGCGGUCCAAAACGCAUGGAUUAUAUUCAUGGCGAUUCAAAUGGGAAAGCAUGCAUCAUUACCGGGCCUUGUGGAGCCCGAUGGACCUACAUGUGUCGUUCCCAGAUAACGUGGAAGUGGCCCACAAGCCUGCCAGGAGAGACCCUACCCCUGGGCUAAUCAACCGCAACAGUUGGUGCAUGAACAGUUUUGCGGUGGAUCCAAGUCAUUGUUUCGUUUCUUAGAUCCAGCCAUCCGGUGGAUGACACUGAAUGCCCCGCAUGGUUGUGGUUGACGUACCAUACCAGUUCUGCAGCGACCUACUACUACCCUGUUUGCAGUGUUAAGAGUACAACACGGUUGGUAAUGCAAGAUGGGAUCGGAGUGCAACCGAACCGGCGGGUGCCUUCCAUUCAGUGCAAUUCGUACUCUGGGUUGGUGACCAUCGAAGAUCAACACAGCGCAUGAACAUGGCGUCCGGGUUCAGGUAGGAGGUGGCGAGCAGCGCGUGGCGGACGUGGUCGCCGAUGCCGUUGCCAAGCCCGUAGGCAAGGCCGGGCAGGUGCCCCCCGGAUGAUGAGCUGACAGCACCACCCUGCAUGUGCCCCUCGUGGUGAUCGUAUGAGGGCGUGGGCCUAGGCUAGGCGGCUAGCUAACCAAAGCAAGAGAAGGCGACGUCGCUGCUCGCGCGGGGACCCGGGACGGAGGUGGGGUUGCGGUCGAGGCGGCCUUCCCCGGUUGCGAGCGGCAAAGGCAAGCAUUCAUCAACUGGUUGAUUGAUGCCUUGAUGAAUCUCGACGAACGGUGUGGGCGAAGACUGGCCGAGCUACUUCUGAGUUCUGACACGUCAAUGCAGACGUGGCCCGUCCAAUGUGAACUGGCAUGCGUGGUGGGGGGUGCCACGGGAUCCACCAGGUGGGACAUUCUCUUUUGUCCUGGGCCUUUGAAAUUUCAAAUGGCACCUGGGCCUCGCUCGGGCCCGUGAGCUCAAUAUAAACGUUUUCAGCUGCAAGAGCUGCACCUUGACAUUUCAAAGGUACAUGACGAAAUUCAUGAAAAAUCCACCUUCCAAUUGGACAACCAGAUCUUUCAAAUGGGGAUUUCAAAUAUGAUGCCAGAGACGUUACUAGGAACUGGUAUUUCAACUGAAUUCAGACUAAAAUGUUUGAAUGUUUCACGGUGGUAUCUCAGAUGCCCAUGAACAAGUUCAUGAACAAGAAUCUCUAACUUUCCAUCGGAUAACUGAAUCUUUCACUUGGGAUUUCAAGCUUGGCGACGAGUCGACGAGCAACAUGAGAACAAUUUGUCACGCUAGGUGGCUAGGUGCUAACUGGUCCAAGAAGACCGCCGCGAAAAAUUGAGAAAUCAACCAUCCUCUUGGAAAAUCGACCAACAUGAGGAUCCAUGGAUCACCCAGCAACGACGCGGAGUGGGAGGCACCCAUGCAUCACAGCAUUAUUAGUAGAUGUCGUUGAAGCCAAUCAUGGCGUGCGCGACGGCGUUCUCGCGCCUCCUCACCACGUCGCGGGCCGAGGCCAACCAGCCGUCGUCGUCGUGCAGGUAGCCCUGCUAAUUGGAUUGGAUUUAAUUGUUUUAAUGGAUUAUGUUUCUUUUGGAAGUUGUUUAGAUUGGUUAUUAAUAGGCUGAUUCAUCAAAUGAUUUGGUUUGGUUUGUAUAUUCCUCUAAAAGGAAAUAGUUUGGAAGUGGUUUAGAGUGGUUUGUAUUGGUUUGAUUCACAAAACAAUUUAAGGAUCUGAUUCUUGAUGUGGGCCCACGUAUAAGUCCAACUAUACUUUUUCGCAUGAAGUAGCUAAUUAUUAAAUUAAAUCAUCUCCAACAAAUUUCAAUCAAUUUUGUUAAAAUUUUAAAGUGUGAAGGGGAGGUUUUAGUUCGAGGGUAAGGCUCUUGACGUGGGGCUCAUAUAUAUAUAUAUAUGUGUGUGUGUGUGUGUGUGUGUGUGUGUGUGUGUGUGUGUGUGUGUGUGUGUCCAACUAUACUAUUUUACACAAAGUAGCGGACACUUAAACUGAGUCAUCUCCAACAAAUUUUGAUCAAUUUCGCUAAAAUUUUAAAGUGUGAACGCGAGGUUUUAAUUCUAGGGUCAGCCCUUGAUGCGGGACCCAUAUGUAUGUUUAGCCAUACUAUUUUACACAAAGUAGUGGGCAGUCAAAUUGAGUCAUCUCCAGCAAAUUUUGAUGAAUUUCGCUAAAAUUUUAAGGUGUGAACGUAAGGUUUUAAUUUUAGGGUCCAGCUCUUAAUGUGGGGUCCAAAUAUAUGUUUAGCCAUACUAUUUAGCACAAAGUAGCGGGCCGUCAAACUCUAUCAUCUCCAACAAAUUUCGAUCAAUUUCGCUAAAUUUAAGGUGUGACCACGACAUUUUAGUUUUAGAAUCCGGCUCUUGAUGUAGGACCUACAUGUCGGACUCACAUUUAUUUCAAAUAUAUACGAGUUUUUUAUAUGAGCCCAUAAGUUUAUAUAGCAAACCAUGAUUUUUUAUAGCAAACUUAUAGGUUCUAUCAACUAGUAGAGUGGAUUAGUUUGGGUUUAAAUAAUAUAAAUAUGAGGUGAGUUAGGUUGAAAACAUAAAUUAACUUGAUGUGAAUUGGCGUGGAUUACAAUCCAAUUAGCAGACCUACUGCAGUUGCCUCCACGCCUGCAGCACGCAGCUGCACGCCGCUCACGUAGGCGUGCAGCCCGGCGGCGUCGAAGACGCGAUCCCCCGGAGCGCGAUGCAGGCCCGGGACAGGUCGUGCGCCAGCGGCAGCGCGGCGUUGACCGGCCACACCAGGAACGCAAGGUGGAACGCCUGCAGUCUUCAGGAACCCGCCGGCGGCCACGGCCGGUACGGCGAGGAGCAUCAUGUGAUUGUGAACUGCCAUGGAUGCGACGAUCUGCGUGUGAGCUCACCACUACUGCGUGUGCCUGCAUUAGAGCAAGGUUAAUAAUGCAGCUGGCUGCUGGCUGCAGCCUACCUUUCCGCCUAUGAGCUCUUCAAUAUUAAUAUAAAAUUUAUUUAUCUUUCUCACAAAAUUUCUUUAUUCUUAUGUUUAAACGGGUUGUAAGUUUACAACCGGCUUCUCCUCUCUCUCAUCUCCUCUCUCCUCCACCUCAGCAUUCAGCCUGCUUACGGCAUGUUGUUAUACUUUCUUAGACGGCUAAUAUAAGAGCCGAUGACCAUGUGCACGAUGUUGAGCACGAGGCAUCAGUUGGCUAACAAAGACCCGAUCGAACAGACAUGGACGGAGGAGGUUGGAGCCUUGCUUGCUGAGGAGGGUUCAUGAUUGCAAUCGGUCUCUGCUAAGUGUUAACUGUUUGGAGUAGCUGGCUUAUCAGCCUCUUCUACUCCCUGCUCAGGCAUGGACGCAUGGUGUUCUGGCCCAAGCAAGCUCUAUGAGAAAUGUACUCUACUUGUCCCAUUCCUAAUCCCUGGAGUGGAUGGGGGUCCAAUUCUUUACCAACGACUGAUAAGGCAGCAGCUCAGAUGCGUGAGUAGGUUAUGUACAUGGGGCCCGGUAUGGGAAAGUCAUUUCCACGUGUGCAUGUGAUCGCAUUAGUUAUCUCGGCCAUUCAUUUUCCUCGCAUGAUGUCCAUCCAACCGUUAAAUUUUUCACCUACAUAUGAUUGUCUCACAUACCCAUGAUUCAUCUCACUAUUAAUUUUAAAAUGAAUGAUCCAGAUAAAUCAUGUGGUCACAUGUUUAUGUGAAAAAAAUCCAUGUCCGCCUGGUAUUAUUAUAGAACUGGUGCCUGCAUUUGCCUUCCUUCUCGAAAUAACUCAACCCUUUUUUCUAAGACCCACAUAAAAAUAUGCCGCUAGUUUUAGUAAAGCUAAAGCAACAAGAGUAUUUAUAUCAUUCAUGGACGCUGCUAAUUCUCCAUAAGGUAACUCUAUAAUUUUCCAAGGUAAAAGAGCACCUGACCAAUUCAAAACAAAAAUACAAAGGAACAUAGUUCCAAUAAAGGGAACCCAGGGACUAUAUUCUUCUCCAAUCUGAGUUUUGCUCAAGUCUUAAAUAAACUCAACGAUAUAUUCGAAGAAAUUCUGACCGUCGGUCGAGAUAGUUUGUGGAUACAAUAAGUGAACCUAGCAAAAUAGUAAUUACGACCCAAGAAGUGACGAGGACUUGGGCAUGAAUUUGAAAACCUCCUAUUUGCCAAUAGAAGUGUUGGCCUACUUCUACACCCGGUAUAUCAUAUAACCCCUUGAGUGUUUUAAUGAAACAUGGUACAUAUAACCCCUUGAGUGUUUUAAUGAAACAUGGUACAUAUAACCCCUUGAGUGUUUUAAUGAAACAUGGUAUUUUUGGCUGGUUGGUUUCAUUAUCACAAAGCUGCUCUCAAAUUGGUCUGGUUCCAAGAUGUAGAAUCCACGUUGAAUCACCACAUAGCGGGUUAUUAGGAUAUGGGUCUCUUUCUUGGGCGGGACACCAAAUCCAUGUAUCUUUACCUAUUAACCAAUUUCUCGACGCUGGGAUUGGUCCUAAAGAGAUACCACUUCCUCAUGAAUCUAUCUUGAAUCGCGACCUUUUGGCUCAACUUUAUCCUAGUUUUGUCGAAGGAGCAACCCCUUUUUCAUCUUGAAUUGGUCCAAAUAUGCAGAAUUUCUUAGUUUUCGACGAGGACUAGAUCCAAUAACCGGUGGUCUAUGGUUGAGCGAUAUUGCAUACCAUCAUUUAACUAUUGCUAUUCUUUUCCUGAUCGUUCGCUCGUCAUAUGCACAGGACCAGUUGAGGUAUUGGUCAUGGACUUAAAAGAUAUUUUGGAGGCUCGAAACAUAAAGUUGGUGUUAAUGUAGAUCGUAAUCAUACAUUCUAGGUAGCAACACUAUCUUCAAACUAAUCAUGUACUCGUAAUCAUACAUUCUAGGAGUGUGAGAUUACAAGCAAGCGCAGGAUCAGCAAUAAUUGGGUUAGGAUCGGCAACACUAUCUUGUUGUUCUUGGAUGAAGUUACGAACAUUCCACAGAGCACCAAUCGUUCGCUGUCCGUGUCCUAUCAAUCUACUACUAUCAUGGCGCACGGUCGCGUCCCUGCGUCUCUCUAGCCCCUGUAGGUGUUGGCCUUUCUCGAUCCGAGGAGCCACUCUUCGCCUGCUCACGGCCGGAGGCCAUCAACAUUAUCUCUGAUGAGAAAAUUCGGCUCAGACAGUGCAAAUUCCGAGAAAAUUGACUUGUAUUUACCAAUCACAUUUACAGAAAUCUCCCAACUCUUUCCAUGCUAGCUGAAAUUGAACUAUACCAAGACCGAACUAUACCAAGACCAACAAGAAACAAGACGAGCGGAUGGACAAUUAAGCUAAACUACUAGCAAAGGGGCAAAUUGGCGUGCCGCCGCCGCCGCCGGCGCUCAUCAGUCGGAGAUGCUGAGCAUGGCUCGGAGGACGUAGUCGUCGAGGGCGUCACUGUUCCCUCUGUGCCUCCAGGCGACGGCGCCGCGCUCCAGGGCCUCGUGGACCCACGCGGCGUGCGAGGCGAGGACGCCGAACAGGACGGCGCAUACCUCGGGCAGGUGGCGCGCGAUCGGCAGCCGGAGGUCGUGCGGCGCCGAGAGGUUGAACACCUGCAUCAGCCCCCUCGCCGCCACGAACGCCAGUAGGGGGAGCCCCAUCGUCGAUACCGCCAACACAACAGUGUAGUAUAUCCCGCCGGCCUCUUGGCAGGAGACGGCAGCGACGACGGGAGAAUGCGGGCGCGCUUCUUCCGCCGACCUUGCCUUAUCAGAGCAGAGGAGGAGCUCGUCUACGAAUCACAGAAUGCUCAGCUGCCUGUCCUCGAAGGUUAAAUAGGCAAAGGACGGCAACGUCGCUGCCUCGCUCGCUGGUGUGGUUUGCCGGUGGGGGAGGGGGGUUGCGUUGCGGCCUUCCCCAGUUGCAAGUGGCAACGAGAGCCGACGGCAUCACUGGCUGCUGCUGCCUUCACUGGUUCCCGGGAGAGGCAGGGGUUUGGAUAAGAGUCAACUAACUUUUCUGACGUGUCAUUUGGCCUGCACUACAGGGAGCUGUCUACAACAGCGCAAGAGACGGGGUGAAGAGACAGGAACGGUGUCUGGCCUUUUGGCCUUGCCUUGCUCGUAUUGUCUAGAACAUCAAUCUAAUAUAUAUUUAAUGACUGGCUAUAAGAGUAGUCGGCAGUAGCAUUUAACAUCUUCAAUGCGUUAGAUAUGCGACGAUGACAUUUAGGGGUGUUUGGGAGACGGUCUUCAGAUUUAACCCUUGUCGCAUUGAAUAUUUGAACACUAAUUAGGAGUAUUAAAUAUAGGCUAAUUACAAAACUAAUUGCACAAUCCCUAAGCUAAAUCGUGAGACGAAUCUAUUAAGCCUAAUUAGUCUAUGAUUUGACAAUGUGGUGCCACAGUAACCAUUAGCUAAUGAUAAAUUAAUUAGGCUUAAUAGAUUCGUCUCGCGAUUUAGCCUAGGGAUUCCGCUAUUAGCUUGUAAUUAGCUCAUGUUUAGUCCUCCUAAUUAGUAUCCUAUCCGAACAUCCGAUGUAACAGGGUUAAAGUUUAGCCCCUGUCUUCCAAACACCCCCUUAAUAUUGGUUCACGUGUAAUGGGGUAUUAUAAAAACCACUACUUUUCGCAAUUUGUUAGUAGUAUUAUAUAGACUAAAAAUUAGUAAGUGUUUUUCCCAUCUCUUUCAUGUAGGCAAAAUAUGACAUGUACAAUAUACUACACUUUUGCACAAUUGUUGUACUAGAUCGAUAACAUCUAUAGAGCCCUUGUACUAAGGGCCCUUUUGGUAGGACUUCUCAAAGGGUUUCUCCAUCAAUUUUUGGUGAAGUCCUACCAAAAGGGCUUCUCAAAGGGUUUCUCCAUCAGUUUUUGGUGAAGCCCUACCAAAAGGGUUACUUUAAAACGGUUUCACCACCGAAGUUAGGGAGAAGCCACAAAACUACACUAAAGAGGAGGAGCAAAAAAAGGUAGCUUCACCAGCUUCUCCUCCCUAUCCACGUAUUAAUUAACCAUAAAAUUAUCCAUAUUACCAUUGAGAAGCUGCUUUACCCAAUAUUUUUCAAAACAGCUUCAACUCCACUAAAGAAGUCACUCCACCAAAGAAGCUGAAACCGGAGCUAUUUUGGCGGGAGCUGAAGCUCUACCAAACAGGGUUUUUCUCCUCUCGCACUUCUUUUUUUUCACAGAUCCCUUUUUAGAUAAUGGAAUCAUUUAAAUUCCGAUCUCUACAUCCAGUGCAACAUAUCUAGCCAUUAUUACAAAUAAAAAUAGACCACUCAUGAUCAGACUAGCAUGCAAACAAAAGUGAACGUAAAGCCUAUUAAUAAACCGCCACCUGUUCUUUGUGAAGAUCUCCAUGGAUGCGAUCUCCAAAGCACGACAUACCCUUGUUAUGGUGUCCCAGACCGCCUCCUUCUGAAGCAAGGCCCGCAAUCGGAUCCAGUGUGUGGUCCUAAAAAAGAUCUGCAAACAAGAUUGUGUGCAUGCUUUAUCAAAAACUACAUUAUUUCUGCUAAGCCAAAUGACCCAGCAACCGCACUUACACCCAUCAAGAUGAGGCUUUUUUUUUCCACGUUACCCCUUGAAGCCAAGACCCAAACCCAAAUAUUAAUAGGUUUAUAUAGGUCGAAGGUAGUAUGAAUUAUUCUCCAAAUCAACUUAGCAAUGUGGCAUUCAAAGAAGAGAUGUUGAAUAGUCUCAUUAUCAUUGCAGUAAUCCCUGCAUGCUUGACAUUGCAUAUGAUCAUUAUAACUUUCAAGUCGCCGUUAGCUACAACUCUUAUCUACAGUCCACCUUAUUCUAGCUACUACAACCGGUGUCCCUUGGACCGGCAAGCCAUUUCCAAUAAUGUUUUUUUUUUUGUGUGUGAGAGCCAGGUAGGGCUAUUCUUCUUCGUGUCGGAGGAUCUUGGAAGUGAGACUGUCAGCACUUUAUCAUGAUCUAUUCACCGAUCUAUUCAGCCACCACUACAGGACAGGACGUUCCGCUUCCCCUUUUUCUUCAUGUGAAAUAUCCUAGCACUUUAUCAUGACCUAUUCAUCCACUUGCGCUACUACACGACAGGACGUUCCCCUUCCCCUUCUUUUUUGAAAAGCUUACGACGACGUUCCAUUUCGAAAAGUGCUGCAGAUGGGAACAUCGUUUUCAGCAGUGGAUAAGGUAGCAAGCAGCUUGGGGUCUUGGCUGCACUUUUCGAAAUGGAACUAGACAAAUAUAGAAAACGUUACUUGUGGAAAGGCUCCGAUCUCAAUACUAAAAGCAACCUCCAAAGGCAGUCUGGCCCAUCGUCUGUAUCCCUAAAAAAGAAGGUCUUGAGGUGCUGAAUCUCACAACCCACAAUGAUGCACUACUUAUGAAGUUUCUCCACAAGUUUUACUCAAAGUCAGAUAUUUCUUGAGUUCACCUUGUCUGGGAUAAUUAUUAUUCCAAUAGACAAUUACCUGGACAGAAAAAAAGAAGAUCCUUCUAGUGAAGGGAUAUAGUAAAGUUGAUCGACAAUUACAAAGGAAUGGCUACAGUCUCAUUAGGAAAUGGAUCAACUGUUCUAUUCUGGCAUGAUCUAUGAUACGGUCAAGUCCCCUCAUAGCAAUAUCCUGAACUCUUCUCUUUUGCCAAAAACCCCCUGGUGACCUUCAGAGAUGCAAUGGCAGAGAAUGAGUUUCUCACAGAAUUUCCACCUACCACUAUCCAUCCAAGCCUUUCAACAGUUUUCCGACGUUCAAGCUUUGAUUGAAAACGGACAAUAUCAUGGUGAUGUUGAUGUUUGGUCUUAUAUGUGGGGCAGUCCAAACUUCUCAGCAGCUAAAGCCUACAAGUCCUUAAUUGGUACCAGGAAUGUCCAUCCCAUCUUCCAGUGGCUGUGAAAAUCCAAGUGUCAAAUGAAGCACAAAAUUUCUUCUGGCUGGUUCUCAAGGAUCGGGUAAAUAGAAGGGAUCUCCUACUUCGGAAAGGCAUGACCCUAAAAUUCUACACUUGUGACUAUGUAUUCUUCAGAGGAUAGAAACGGUUGCUCACCUCUUCCUACGGUGCAAUUUCGCAAGGACUUGUUGGGCAUCAAUUGGGAUCACGGUGAUAACUACAAGGCCAAUCUUGCAUAUCCUCAAGAGAAUUAAACGGCAACUGAAUGUACCUUUUGCCAUGGAAAUAAUUAUCCUAAUAACUUGGUGCAUCUAGACAAUAAGGAAUGACUGGAUCUUUAAUGAUAUCAAUCCUAUGAUAGAGGAUUGCAGAAACAAGUUCAGAACUGAAUUCGCUCUUCUACUUCACAGAGCAAAGCAUAGUCUUUUGCCCCAAUGGAGAGCUGGCUUGAAGCCCUGUAAUUUUCCCUUUUCGGUUCCUCUCUUAGUUGUUUUCUCUUUUGUUUGCCUGUUUAUUUAUUUGUAACGCACUUUUAUUCCCUAUUUUAUCUAUAUAAUCACUACACUAGGGGCUUGCCCCUCCUGUUUUCUUCAAAAAAAGGUAGCAAGCAGCUCACGAAUGGACUAGAUCAAGGGGUCAGCACACAAACAAACUGCAAAACCUCAGUUCUCUUCCUACCACAAAUUAAAUACACCUGGGUGCGCAUACUUAAGCAACAUGAACGAUCAAGUCUAGCAAGUGCCGUUUCGCGGAGUAGAUCGCUUGCACGCAGAGGGCUUGGGAUGAAAAUUGGUUGGAAGGCAUCAAGGCAGCAGAGGCAGGUGCAGGCUCAACAGGAAACUCGGAUAAAGAAAGAUAUUUUGCGCGAUCUUUCAGCUUCAGCGCCCCCACAGACAAGUUGGUGGAGGAGGCAUCAACCACGACAAGAUAGCAUGUCGAUCGUUCUCGCUAUUCCUCGAGCAAUCAUACGGCACGCAUGGUCGUGUCCCUGCGUAUUCUGCCCCCUGUCGAGGUGGCCUUUCUCGGCCCGAGGAGCCGCCGCUCUCUCACUUUUCGUUGCCCUUUCCGGAGAUCUUUGGUUCAUUCUGAUUCAAUAUGAUCCGUUGAGUGUGUGUAUGUACGAUGGUCCAAAUGCACCGAGUUGAAGAAGCGUGAGAGUGCUGCCGGGGUGAGGCUGGAUCCUGCAUUGCUCGUUCCACUACGCUGCACACGAGUCUGUACGAUAUGUUCAGCGUUAGAAAAAAAUGACGGAUUUGAUUGUAGCGUGCAAGUAUUUUAUGACGACUCUGGAGUCGUGCACAAGAUAUGAAAUAUAAUUUAUAAACAGGCGAAUCGUACUUUUAUCUUUGGAUACAAGCAAAAAACAAAUUGUUCUGCGUACUAGCAUAUACGUAGGGGUCACUGGUCAGUUGUCAAGUGAAGAGCGCGGCGAAGAAUAAUAACGAGAGGCAGAACGAACCCUGACUUUUCUUUGUUGCCGGCAGUACGGCGAAUGACGAUGAUUCCUAAAAUUAAAGGUUGAAUCCUGACAGCAUAAAGCAUUCAUGCGGGCCUCCAGGCUCUAAUGUCCAAACGGGCGGUCCAAUCCCAGCUAGGCCCGCCCAACUUCAUCCCGGACCAGGCCCGACCGGCCUGAACCUUUGGGUAGGCUCCGCAGGGUGAUCGUGGGCAAAGGGAGCCACAGACUGGGAGGCGCUUUCCGGAGGUGGAAGAUUUACGUUCUUCCUAUUUGACCCGAAACCGAUCGAUCUGAUCAUGAGCCUUUAAUUUUGUUUAAGGGCUACUCGUCUUACUAAAGUACUAAAGGCUUUCACGGCUGACUCCUGCUCUCGAGAAAAGGGAAUUGAGGCUUGCGCGUGUACGGAAACGCAACGGCUUUCCCGCUCGUCCCUUGCUUCAAAACUAAAGAUUUUUUUUCCGAUCAUUCGGAAAGGUAAUUGGAGCUUCGCUCACGGGCUGCACCAACGGCCCAGGCCCGGACCCACGGGCCCAUUUCGUGCCGGACCGGGCCGGUUGGCACGGACAGCCCGGCGAGCCCAGUGCCAGCCCAGGCACGGUGGAGCAGUCGCCGGUUCGCCGCCGCCGGGAUUUGUGGAGCCGCCGGCGUCUGCUGGAGGUUGGAGCCGGGAGAGGGAAGGGCCGACGGAGGGUGCUCUUUCUCUUCCUGCGCGCCGCCGCCUCCAGCUCGACAAGCCGCCGGCCGCUGCCCCUGUGCGACCCCCGGAUUCAUCUGCAUGCUCGCCAUCGCAUUGGGGAGGUGGCGCCGGCCGC
rnacentral:lncRNA from 1 species